GGUGCCAUUAUAAGUUUGAAGUACUCUUUCUGCAGCUGGACGAGUUAAAAACUCAAUAAAACCGUAACCCUCGGACUGGCCGGUUUGCUUGUUCCGAAUCACUUUCACAGAGGAAACCUGGAGAGACAAACAAUGUUAAAUCUCAACAGCAAAAAAAAAAACGAAAUUUCGGAACCGCUUCAUAUAUACCAACAUGUGUGUAGACAAAUCUUUAUGCAAUCAACCUAAUAAUCACAAAACUAGAUCUUUUUUUUCCCAACAACAACGAUAAAAAGAAAUAAUAAAGACACACACACACAAGAUCUAAAGUGGGUGGCGUUCUUAGACGUACCUCGCCAGUAUGAGCAAAACAAUUAAAGAUAUAGUUCUCGUCCAUCCAGUACUGCAAGUCUCCGAUCCAGAGGGUACGAACCUCAUCCCCGUUGGCAGACUGAGGGGGUUGGCCCUGUGGGGAACCGGCCUGUGGCUGCUGAGGCCACAUCUGAGGAACAGGCUGAGGUUGGGGCGGCUGAGGGGGCAUCAUCAUGUAAGGAGGUUGCUGUUGUUGGUACUGAGGGGCCUGGUGAGGCAUGUUGUGAGGGGCAACACCAGGUGCAGGCUGCAUGGUAAUGGAGAAAGGGAUAAGAGAAUCUCCUUAGUGAGGAAAGAAGGAGAAAGAAGAAGAGAGUUUUGAGUGUCUCGUCUGGACAAAGAGAGAAACCCUAACCCUAGAAGCCGAUAAUGGGCGAAAAGGGAGGAAACAAAGAGAAGGGGGCCAGUGGGGGAAUCGAUUACAUUUAUCGUUUUAAAAAAGGAAAUAAAAUAAAAAUAAUUUGUUUGGUACGUUUUUACUUAUCCCAAAAACUCACCAAACCUUUCACAUUUGGAUUCACUUAGAACAAAGAAAAUAAAAUGUUUUUCUUUUUUUCUCUACAAAUCGUUAAACAUUUCUAAAUACAUCUGUCAUUUUGUUUUAUGUUUUCUAUUUCUUCUUUUCAAUUUUGAACUCUGCUUUUUAAAAUAUUUGGAAACUUGAAUUCUAUUUUUUGAAAACGGUUUUCCAUUCGUAUUUGUAGAUAAACUAUUUUCGGUCUAUAAAAUCGUCAUAUUUUUUAUUUAAUACUUUUUUUUUCUAAACUACACAGAAAAAUGUAUAUAAACUUUUAAAUGUUUUAGAAAAGGUUCUUAAAACUUUCAAAAAAUAUGUUUAUUGUUAUGAGAUUUGGGUGGAGAAUGAAGAAAGAAGAAAGUAUGAUUACUUAACAAGUUAAUAUCCAUUAAUCAUUAUUGUUACUUUUAAUUAUUAGUUAUAAAUUACUAUUUAGACUUAAUAAACUUCAACAAAUACAUUACUUUAUAUCAUGUUAACUAUUUAAUAUAAGAGAUGGGUCGAAACUGAACCAAAUCCAAGUCAAUAGACCGUAGCUAAUCCUUCACUUGAGGCAUUCGACAUAGAUCCAUUAAUCUAAGAAAAUUCCACAAAUUGUUCUUCAACAAAUCGUGAAUCUAUUCUUCAAGAAAGAGAAUGUGUCAUAUUCAUAUUUGAUUGACCAUCUCUAGCGAACAAAUCAUUUAUUCGUUUUCAACAAGUUCACCAUCUAUUCUUCAAAUGAAUAUAUCUUAUUUUCUUCAACAACUUUGUCGUAUAUGCAUCAUCUACAAAUUGAAAAAUGAACUUUUCAAAUGUUUGAAAACUUCGACUAAUUGAUCGACUUUUCAUCAUAUAAAAACUGAAGACUGAUAUUCUGAAAAUUUUGAAGACUUCAUCAAAUUAAUCGUUUUUUCACCAUCUACAAGUUGAAGAUUGAUCCUAAAAAAGAUCAACAGGUCCAACGACUCAUAAUAGAAGAAGAUCAACAAACUUAAAAAUUGAAUUUUAUAUAUUUAAGAGAACAUACUAGACGGUAAAAAUUAAAUAUUGUAAUAUUUGCAUUUUCACAAAUAAAAUUUAUUUGGUCAAAAUCUCGUGUUAACCCAUAGUUUUUUCUAUAAAAGAGUGACAAUGAUGAUAAUCACAAACGAUAAUGGUAGCAUUAGUGUUUAUCAAUAGGAUGACAACUUAUUUAGACAUGUGCUCUCCUUGUAUUAUAACAUAAUUAAACAACACUAAACAUAAUCACAUGAAUCCUUUUUAGAUCACCGUUGAUUCAUUAUUCGUUGAACAUGAGUAAAACAUGUCUUAUUUUAAUAUAUAAAAAUAAUUAAAUAAGAAAACCACCUACUAAAUUUUACUUUUUGCUCGAGUAACUCGAAUUGAGUCAAGUCAAAUAUUUCAUGGUUGAAUUUUGUUGGAAUUUUUAACUAAAAUUAUUUAGUUUGAAGAAAUCUACAACCCAAUAAAUGAAUAAGCAUACAACACAACUCAAGCCACAAAUACUAAUUCAAAACCAAGCACAUGAAGUCCAAACAGUACCAACCACACACCAAUAUUAGGUCUUCCUAUUAAAUUCAGUAUUAUAAGCUAACUUAUUCCAAUCUCCCACAAUGUCUGGAAAAUAUAUUUUCUCUCUUUGGAGGUGAAGAGAUUUGAAUGAAGAGCCAAUACUUCACAUGAAAGUUCCAUUUUCAUUAAGACUGAUCACUUUUGGAAGAUUUUAGACAUUGUAUCUUUGGCAUUAGUCCAGAAAAGAAUUCAAUUCGCAACAUUAGUCCAAAUCCAUUUAUGUAUUUAUUUAAGGAUGAAAUUUAAACUUAAGCGAACUUGUGUUUAUAAACUCGUAUAAGGCACAAAAUUGAAUCUAGCAAGUUGGAAUUAAUCUAUUAAUGAACUGUUGCAUAAGGCGCAUAAUAGGAUUAAGAAAUUUGGAAUUAAUCUAGUAAUGGCUAACCGAUUUUAAUUAAACAAUGAAUACACCUUCAAUAUUGUACAAGCAAAAGUUGAACAAUUUCAGAAACCAAACGUCUCAAUGGUUCGACGACAAUUCCCAUUGUACAGUAAUACUAUGAAAAAACAUAACAAACAGUUUCAAGCCAGAAAAAGUGAAAUAGGGUAGAGAAACAUCAGCAAGAACAUAAGUAGUAAGUAGUUAACCCACGUACAGCCUUUAACAAGGACUUGAGAAAAUUACAAGAUCAUUCAACUCCUACCAUAAUAGAUAUGAUCAUAUGAAAAGAAACAAAUAACACAACACGCAAAAACCUCUAACGCCAAAUACAACACACAACUGACAUCAAGUCAACGGAGUCAUACAGAAUAUUUGUUUAGAAUAGAUGAGAGAGUAACAUCUCCAAAAUCUUCUACAAAUGACAAGCAGAAGUUUAGGGUCUCAUUCGAAUUGAGAGGUGAGGCAAGAGAAAUAGAACUUGUCAUCUACAUAUAUCCACCUUGUUGCUGUGAUGGCUGCUGUGUUGCUGGUUGCUGGUAGUUCCCAUACCCACCAUAGCCACUGUAGAACAUGUUAGGGUCUUGGGCAGCUGGAGCAUAGCUAUAAUUUUCAUAUCCUUGUCCAUAUCCAUAAUAUCCUCCUCCUCCACCUCCUCCUCCAUUCCAUUGAUUAGGAUCAGCCUGAGGCUGUAAAUUUAAAAUAGAGGUCAAUAAAGCUAAUAUAUUAUUUGCUUUAAUGAAUACAAGAAUACAAGUGAAGCACAAUAAUAGUACCUGUUUGUUAGAAGGACUACGACCCCACGAAAGUCUAAUGUUUUGCCCACCAAUUGGGGUUCCAUUCAAAAUGCGCAAAGCUUCCUCGGCGCAGCUUCUAAAAUAGUAUUAAGGAAAACAAAAUACAAAACUCAUGAGCAAAUGAACACCACAUGAUGGGAAGAAGGGGCGUAGGUGUCAUGAAAGCUUUUGAAAAUACCAACCUGUCUGAAAAUUGAACAAAGCCACAUCGUUUGCCUGCAGGAAUCUUAACAUGCACCAGCUCUCCAUACUGACUGAAUACUUGUCUCAAGUGCUCAUCAGUGACAUUAGAAUCCAAAUUCCCCACGAAUAUCUGAAACAAAAUCAAAUAAUAACUCAUAAAUACGUCCAUGAGAUAAUAUUGCUAUUGAAAAUUAUUGGAGUACCCACAGUUGUAUUAUUUGGAUCGUUCUCAUUCUGUGUGCCUGGAGGAUUCUGGUAUGAAGCUGCAUUUGAAAAUAUUAAACUAAAAUGACAUCUUCUAUCAACAUGAACUAAAAAAAUCCUUAGAUCAUUUUUACCCAAGUCAUUAUCAUGUUGCAUUAUCGUUAUGGUAAAUAAUAGUAAUGAAAAUUAAAACCAAGAUACAUGCAAACUAAAACAUGAUAAAUUCAAAUGACUAGCAAUCAAAAUAUCCAUGAAAAGAGACAUCCAUUCUUUAAAUAGAUGCAGAAUUAUAACAGUCACAUCCUGGCUGUAAUAGCUAAUACCGAACAACGGAAAUAAUUAUAAUUAUAUAUAUUACGGAGGGGGAGGGGACUAAACUCUUAUGGGACCUGAUUUUUUUUUUUAUUCAAAUGAAGAUAACUUGAAAUGGUCUUAAAAUGCAGACAAUGUGCCACAUCGAUAAUUAAUUCUCCCCUAAAAAUUCCCAUCAAACAGAAGCCACCAUAAUGUCGACAUUCCAACUCUUCAAAAUUUCCAUAUUUGAUUAUUGUCUUCUCUAUCAUUCACUGAGGUUUACCUAUUUUACACCUCAAAGAUGUAAGCCUCCUAUAAUUUCAAAAAGGCAUAAGAUUUGAAGAACUUCAAGGCUUUCAGCUCAUAUCAAUACAAAAACAAUAACAUGGAGAUCGGAAUAUGAAGAAUAAAAGAUACUGUGCCAAACAUAAUAAAUGCAAAAUAACCAAGUGAUUCAUCAUGGAGACCAGAUUAAUUGUGAAAAAGCCUACAUAAUAAUACACGAGAAAUUCUGAUCUAAUGAACUAAAAUAAAACAUAUAGCCUCCUCAACUUCUGACUUGAGGCAACCAUAAUGUGACGUAUUGGAAAUUCUGCCACGCACCACUAUUUAGCCAAUCAAUCACAUGAAAUGAUUCACACCAAGAAAUGGUAUGAGCAUUAAAAAAAAAAAAACUAGAAGCCUUUAAAUCAACAAAACCAAUCAAUACAAUCCUAACUACAAGAAAGAUACAUACAGAGCAUACUUGGAUGAAAAUAGACCCACCGCGAUGGAAGAAGAAUAGAAUAUUCCAAAGGAAAGACUUAACGAAAUACAGAGCUACAGAAUGAAAAGCUAGUAAGAAAUGAAAAUUCAGGCAGAUCAAGAAAUGUAUCAAAACCUUUUGUUGAUAGAUGAUUUGUCUACAAAAAGGGAAUCCAACCAUCAAAUAUUGAAAAUAAAACAUAGAGUAAAUCCCAUAAACCCAAAAUAUUAGGAGGUGAAGGACAAGCUCAACCUAUAUGACCUACUGCAGUUGUAGAAGGAAAGUUCAGAACCAAACUAUGUUACUCCAAAUUCCCAGUUGCUGGAAAUUUAAAAAAACCAUCUAGCUAAAGAACCUAAGACAAGUGACCUAAACUUUAAAGAAAAAUAAAGGAAUUAGAAGUGGUAAAAUGCCAGGGAGAGAAAAAAAUACCCAUGCAAAUCAAAGGAAAAACUAAACGUUGCAGAACUAAAGGUGAAUUAAAAACCGCAGCAUAAAUAUGCCACAUAAAAAGAAAGAGGUAAGACAUUGGCGGAAAAAAAACUGACCUAAAUGGAACAACGUAUUAAAGGGUAAGCGUGUCAGCUGAAAUCAGUAGCGGACCCCAAGCUGACAGAGCCUUUUGACACCCUGCUUAAAGAAAAGAGGAGUUUUAUAAGUUUAUUAAUUCUUCUUUAUAGUACUUAAAAUGACCAAAGCUCGAAUUGGAAGUACACGAAGGAAAAGGCAUGAAAGGCUAUUCUUCCAAGGUAUACGAGAGGGGAAUUAAAAUGCUGGAAACUAGAAAUAGAAGUAACGGAGAGGAGCUAAAUCAGGACAGAAAAUAGAAGUUGCAUUGCAUCUUGCCAUAUUGAAAGCAAAAUGAAUCGAAAAACACUAAUCAGUAAGCACAAAUGGGCACAUCCAUAUGAUGAAUGAAUGACUGAGAAGAUAUUCCAAACAAAAUUCAAUGCCUUGUUUUUCAUUUAAAAUUUUCCAGUUUCGGGGGGGGGGAGUUCGUAUUUACUUUUCGAAAACUGCUGACUGCCAGAAGUGUUCUUGUUAGCUGCUGGUCCGAUUCGCAUGGGUCUGGAUGAACAGUGAACACCGUUCAUCUCAGUCAUAGCCCGAAUUUGUUCAGACUCAUCCCCAAACUUUACGAAACCGUAACCCUUAGUACGUCCAGUGAGCCUAUCGAUCACAACUUUAGCACCCUUAACUGAGUUAUACCGUGCCCUAAAUGUUUCUUGUAGCACAUAAUCAGUAACAUCACCAGCCAAAUCUCCCACAAAAAUAGUGUAAUCAGGAGAAUCAUCUUGUCGCUUCUCCCCUGCUGAUGCCCAGUUCAAUCUAAAAUUUUGUGCCCCAUUGGGCAUGGCGGUGCCAUUAUAAGUUUGAAGUACUCUUUCCGCAGCUGGACGAGUUAAAAACUCAAUAAAACCGUAACCCUCGGACUGGCCGGUUUGCUUAUUCCGAAUCACUUUCACGGAGGAAACCUGCAGAUAUAAACAACAUCAAUUAUAAACAAGAAAGAAGAAAGAAGAAAUGGAAACGAUUCUUGUCCACCGAAAUCACAAUGCAGUAACAUGUGUGGGCACAAAUCUUCAAGAACUCAACCUAAUAAUUAUAAAACCAAAUCUUUUCCCAACAACAGCAAUGAAAACAAAUAAUAAAGACAUAUACACAAAAGAUCUAAAAAUGGGUGGCGUUGACUGACGUACCUCGCCAGUAUGAGCAAAACAAUUAAAGAUAUAGUUCUCGUCCAUCCAGUACUGCAAGUCUCCGAUCCAGAGCGUACGAACCUCAUCCCCGUUGGCAGGUUGAGGGGGUUGGCCCUGUGGAGAACCAGCCUGCGGCUGUUGAGGCCACAUCUGAGGAACAGGCUGUGCUUGCGGGGGCUGAGGCUGCAUCAUCAUGUAAGGAGGUUGCUGUUGUUGGUACUGAGGAGCCUGGUGAGGAAUGUUGUGAGGAGCAACACCAGGAGCAGGCUGCAUCGUUAUGGAGAAGGGGAGAAAAGAAAAACAAAUCUCCUUAGGAUGGGGAGACGGAGAAAGAAAAAGAGAGUGGUGGGUGUGUCGUUCGGACAAAGAGAGAAACCCUAACCCUAGAAGCCGAGAAGGAGGCGAAAAGGGAGGAAAGCAAAAGGAAUGGGAUCGGUAGGAAUCGAUUAGAUUUAUCGUUUUUUUUCUUUUCACUUAUCUGAAAGGUUUGAGGCCGUGGUUUUAGAGCAAUGGGCCCCACGUCCAGGGCGAACUUCGUAUUGACGCUCAAAGAAACCAACCAAUCAGAAAACGAGCUCAUGGAUGUGAAGAUGAAACCAACCUCACACGAAUAGUUUGUCUUUCUAUUGAAUUGAGUAUCAUAUAGUAAUAGCAAUAGACUAUGACAUGACUUGUUCAAAUAUCCAACCAUCUCUUCAAAAUAUUCUCAAAAAGUAUAAGAAAAAAAGGGAGUACUCGUCUGCCAUUUGGGACGGGUUUAUCUGGGCUGGCUUCGAGUUUAUUAAAAGGUGCAACUAUAUCGUAAUUCUUAAAAGUCAAGGUCGUGUAUGAAGCUCUUUUUUUCUUUUUAACUUGUGAUUCUGAAAUUUGACUGUUUUGAGAGUGCAACUUAAAUAAUUGACUCAUUCAAUGAUUUUAUUGAAGUAUUUUUUGUUCAUACUCGAGGGUAGGUUUUAAGUGUGAGAGUCACUAAUUACUUGUCAUAUUUGACAUUUUCACAGUUAAAAAAAGAAAGAAAAGAAAGCCCGUUUUCAUCCAUUGUUGUAAACCUUUCUAAAAUUGAUACCAAAAAUUUGAUUUGGAUAUUGUCAUACACCAAGUUGUUGUCACUUUACCGAAAAUGACCUCAAGGGACGCUGCAAGUUGCCGAAAAAAUAUCCAAUGCUUUGUUAUAUUUAGAGGUUGAAAAGGCCUCUUCAAAAUCCUAUAUCCAUUCUCACCACUAACCACCCCCCGCCAAAACAUCCAAAAAUCUUCCUUCCCAUCAACAAUGGAGAUUUCUACCUCUACUCCUCAUCCCCUUCUCUUUCCUUACUACCAUUACUCCAUUCCCCAUAAUUACGUUCACUGGGUUCAAACCUCAGACUCUCAUCUUUUCUCCGCCGAUCUCCCUGGUACUUCCAUUUUCCCCCAUUCAUUUCUACCCCACUUGGUUUUUAUUUAUUUAUUUAUUUUUACGUUCUCGUUCGUUAAUUUUACGUGUAGGUGUUCGGAAGGAGGAGAUAAAAGUGGAGGUUGAAGAUUCGCGGUAUCUGAUCAUUCGGACAGAGGCUGUGAAUGGAGUUACUUCUCCGGCCAAGAGUUUCUCCAGGAAAUUUCGACUUCCGGUUUUGGUUGAUGUAGAUGGAAUUUCGGCUGGGUUUGAGAAUGGGGUUUUGGAGAUCACGGUACCAAGGUCGUCUUUUAGGAGAAGAUCUGUUGUUCAUUCUCCUGACCAACAUCAACUUCUUGCCAGGGCUGCUUGAUCGAUCAAUUUGAAAGCGAGUUUGCUGCCCUCUCUGCUUUCUAUUUUCCAUUUUUUUUCUCUUUUGGUUGGUUGGAAAAUUGGAGAAAUUUGAAGCUCUGUAUUGUUAGUUUGUGAUGAAUAGGAAGAAUUUAUGUAUCAACAAAUUAAAUUGUUGGGUUUACAAGUAGAAGUAAGUGUAGGAUUGGAUUGAUCUGGUUAAAUUUGGACUGCUUGAUGUUUAUUCAAAUAUUUUUAUGAGUUCCAUGUCCACUUGGUUACUUAAUUUUGACAAUAGGGAUCAAGGCAUUAAAUUUAAUGAUAGAACACAACUUCUUAUGUUCAUGAAUUUGAUGGAGCAGCCUUUUUGGAGGGAGAAAACAUGAACUGACCACAUUUUACAUUACCAAUGAGAUGAGUUUUUACAGUCAAAAGAGAGAAAUAGUUAAUGCUUCCACACCACUUUAGUUAUAUAAUAUUAAAUUUUGUUACUGUAGAUUUUGUGUUUUUUAUUUUCUAUAUAAAAAUUACUUCUUUAUAUUCUCCAUUAAGAGUUACGAAGUUCAAAGAUAUGUAAGAUAGAAAAUUAAUAGUUUUUAAGUAGUUUUCAUUCACUAGUAGAUUUCUAAUCAACUUACGUUGUUAGGACUUAAAGAAUCUAUCCAACUUAACUUCUUUAUAACAAAAAUCAAUAUUAGAAAUUAUGAUAUGUAAAUCGUUCUAUUAUAUAUAUUAAAAUUUAGAAAAUUAUUACACACUAUUGAUAAUUUCAAAAGUUUAAGAACUAAACUUGUAAUUUAACAUAUUUUUUGUCUUAUAAAAUUAUGAUGUUACAAAUAUUGCAAUGAUAAAGCUUCAAAUCAUUGUGAAUAUCUUUGACAAGUUGAUAACCACUUGGUUCUUAAAAUGUAAUGCUAUAAACUAUCACAGUAUUUUGAUUUUUUAGACUAAGUCUACGAACGUUUUUGAAAAAUGUAAUUUAAAAAAGGCAAACAUAUAUUUGGAAAAUUUUAAAAUAUUGUAGGAGAGUUGAGAAAAAAAUACAUUUAAAAGAACUGAAUAUUAUUUUUUUUAAAACACUAAAAUAAAACUAUUACGAAGUUUGGGGAUUAUGGUAAAUAAUACAAUUGUUGAAAACAUUUACAAAAUAUAGAAGAAUUUUAGAUUCUAUCAACAAUAUUUAUCUUUAAUAUAUAUAAAGUUUGGUAAAUAUUUUAGUUUAUUUUACUAUAUUUAAAAAUGAGCGAUAUCAAAUUAAAUCUUAAUUGUUAAGUUAGGUUCAAAUUCGUAUUUCAUUUAAAAUGUGAACUAUGUUUAUAUCAAAUAAUUUUUAUUUUGCAAUGGUCUAACAAAUUUACUAUUAUGGGUUAGAUUUCAUACCAACAACACCUGGUUAUAGACGUUAAUAGAAGUUUAUAUUUAGAAAUGCUUUCAUUUAAUAGAUACUUACCGAACACAAACUUCAAGGUGAGAGGAAAAAAGAGGUUAAAAUUGUAAUUUAAAGAAUAUUUAAAUAUAUUGGCAAAUUUUACUAUUUUUGCUGAAAAGAUUUGGAAAAUAUUUUUAUAAAAGAUGUAUAAAAAGCCACAACUUGCCUCUAUUUUAUUGAAACUGAUAACUUUAACAAGAAUCAAUGCCCUUUUGGACUUCAGAAGGCACCAAUUAGCUGCAGCAUCAAAAUCGAAGUCUGAUAUUUUGGAGUCCCAUAAGCCAAUCGACCAUUCAAUCAAAAUUUGCGGUGGGUAUUCCUGAACAAAAAGGCUACAACACGUGGUUUCUUGUAAUUGUGUCUACACAUGCAACCAAUCACAUCACCAUUGUCAAUUAACUGAUAAACAUCUCAAAGACAAAUAAAUCAGUAACACAAUGUUACAAAACAACGCUGUCAAGGAGUGUGGAUUGUGCAUAAAUUAUGCACACCAAGUAUAUUCUUGUUAAUCUGUACACUAUGAUUUGAAUAUACAUCUCUUACUCUCCAUGUUAAGGUUUAGAACUCAAAACUCAUUUCCCACACAACAAAUAUAUGAAUAUUAGUAGUUAGGCUUAGCACAUGGUGACCGUUACCAAUUGUUAGUUGUCAACUUCAGAAGUUCAACAGCUUCUUUCAAUCGUCUCUCUAUAUUCUCUCUCCCAUCAAGACCCCUAGCAGUCCUGCAAUAAGAACAGUGGGAUUGAAAUUUUCAGCACACGGAUAAAAAAGAAAAACAAAAAUAGAAAGGAACUGCAAUGAAUACGCGUCUGAGUCAAAUUCCUUGAGUUUGAGUUUUACCUCUUCUCGUUGUAUGCCUUUCUGGUAAGUUCCUCCGCAAGGCUGCUAAGUCGCUUUAAAUGGCCACUUGACUUGCGCACUGCUUCAAUGCCUUUUUCAUUUCUGCAGAUCAUUUUCAGAACUUCCGAGGCGAUAAAGAAGCCAUCGUCCUUAUUCCUGAAUACAAAUUGUUGACAGAUAACACUUUAGUUAUAAUGAGAAGAACUAAAUUAUUCUUAUCAUGAUGUUCUAAUUUAAAAAAUUAUAUCGACAAACCUUAGGAGCUCCCAGAGAAGAAUUUCUACGGAUCCAUGAGUAUCAAUUAGCACUUCAAUAAGAUGGGGAUAACGUGAUAAAUUUCUUAAAGUAGAGAGCGCGUGCUUCAGGACUUCCUGAUCAGGUAUGCUUCGGCUGACUGACCGAAUGAGCUUCAGCAAAGUGCUAAUAGCUCCAGCACCAACAAGGGUUUCGCAGCAUUUUUGAGAAUGUCCUGUCGCCAUAUCUACAAAAGCAGAUUUGUACAACAAAUAUUUAUUUUCAGUCAAAUGAUAAAUGAUAAGGCAUAUUCAGGAAAAAAGUGAUGAGUGAAAAAACCAUAGAACUUCAUACUUCAUCCAUAAACUGCCAAAUAUAACUACUGGAUAGUCCUUGCUUUUAACACCUUGAAUAUAAAUUUUGUAGUUUAUGGGCCAUACAAAUGCGUAAAACAGAAAUAUAAACUAGAUUAACUGUAUUCCACAUAAGCAAGGACAGCUGCAACAUGCGUAUGGGAUUCAAAUUAUCAUCGACAUAUUACAUACCUAAAGUUGCACAAGUAUGAAGAAUGCCUCGAACACUUCUCAUGCUUAGCAAUUCCGAAAGUGCUACAACUAAUCUGUUUAUAAUACGCUUGCCAUCAUCCACAUUUGCAGCAGAAUUUUGCACUCUCAAGCGCAGGUCUCGUAACUGCCCUUUUGAUCUUUUUCUUGCUAAGUAACCUUUCCAGUGUGACUAUCAAAUUUCAGGAAAGAUAAAAUUUAGAAAAAGGUACACAUCAUUUCAAAAAUUGGAGUGAUCUUUUACAUAGAUUUUGGGUUUCAGAGAACAGUUAGGCCGGUAAAUAGCUAUUCCAAUCCAGUCACGCUUUUGUCACUGACAUUAUUGAGAGAGCAACAUGAAAGUUAAAAUCAAGAUGAUGACCUAAUGUGUGUGAGUGUGUUUAUGUCUUUUUAAUUAUCACUGAUUCAGCACUUUGCCUCACGGCAGCCUCAUACUGCAAGUAGCCCCUUAUUUCUCCAUUGAUUUACCUACUUUUCUUCUUCACAUUUCAAAUCCUUCAUCCCUUCAGCUCAUUGAGUAGAAGAUCGUUUGAGUGCAUUUGAAGCUCCUAGCAUAUGGUUCUUCGAAGAGCAUACACUACAAUAUCUACUCCGAAUCCGAUAGAUUAAUUAGGACAAGUCAUCACAAUGCUAGGAGUGAAGACGGAUCUAGCAACCUCUACAACUUCUCCACUGUCUUAUGAAUUCUUUUGACUGCAUAUAACUGAUAAAAUGUUAAACAAUAUAGAACCAAAACACUUACUUGGAUCAAAACAAUCUGUUGUCUCUCUGUAGCAGCCCUUCGCCUAGAUAUCCACCCUCUGAUAUGAGACUGGAUGACAAUUAUGGACCUUGAUCUUAAUCUAAGCAAUAAAACUCCCUUCCACCACCGUUGCAGUUUUAGAAUUGAACCUAAAACUAGCUUCAACUCAAACAUUUUACAGCUGGAUCUGGAGAAAUUUCCACUGUAAAACGUUGAACGUAGUUCAGAAGCUGCACCUAAACAAUGAAGUGGUGUGAGAAAUGAAAUUAAAACAAUACAAGGCUAUCAUUGUACGUGUAGACUAGACACAAUACCUAAGAGCUUCAUUCGAGUAAUUUGUCCCCUUAUGAGUCGUUGAAUUUCUAUAGCUGCAUGUCUCUGCCUAUGAAAUGCUAUACGACCAAUCAUGCAUCGUGUAGCAGUCUGGAUCUUUAUGACGGACUCUCUCUGCAGCAAAAAUUCUUUCUGUGCCAGCCAACGACGCCAAAAACUCUAUCAAUAAAAAAAUGCACAUCAUUUAUAUAUGUUAAACAUUUCAUAUUUGCAUAGGGAAAAAGAAACACAUUUUAAAUCAUAAAUAGAACUUUCAAGGGUUGAAAUAAAUGGAUCAAGUCUAUCAUGUCAAGAUAGUCAAUCAGAUGUCACUAUAACAAACUUACUUGAACUAGAACAAUGAGACGCCUCUGCCGAUGACCUUCUCUCCUGGCAAUCCAUCCACGAACCAAAGAUUGAAUUACAAUGGCAGAUGUCACAACAUUCUUGUUAUGUGUAUAUUCUUUCUGACAUCUUAACAUACGGAUAUUUUUCUGAAUUACUAUUGUCGCCAUCCUUAGACUUAGAAACUUCCUUCUUAAAAACUUACCACGAAAAUAGCUUUGAAUUUGAAUGGCAGCAAGGUGUUCAUUACAGAAUGCUUCUCUUACCACUACAUCCUUGUUCAAUAUAGGACACUCCUCAGCAACUACUUGAAAUUCAGGUGUUUCUUUUAUUCGAUCAAUAAUGCCGAUUUCUUCAUCUGCAAUUGAAGCUAUGUUUAGAUGAGUUACUGCAGGGCCAUUUCUGUCGAAAGAUGCUACUUCUCUGCUAACUUGGUUUUUUCUAAUCAUCCAAUUCCUCGUUGCUCGUUGAAUACAUAUUGCUGACCUUUGUAAAGUCAAGAGGUCACGUGUGUCUACUGUGAGUGUGCUAUAUCUCCCAACAAUUUCAAGCUGUUUCGGUCUUUCUGUAUCAUCAAUACAACAGUAGCUUUGGUCAUGGUGAAUUUUAAAUAUUCGACCAUCCGAACUACAUAUUUAGAAACAAUCUAACCAAAAACAAAACACCAUACCACACGAAAGUGUACGGGGAGCAUCUGGUUCUGUACAAGCCAAUUUUUGCCUCCUAAUUAACCAUGCUUUGAUAAAUCUUUGUAAGAAGGAAAUUUCAUGCAUCAAAUUAAUAAACUUGCGACGUUCAACCAAUCUCCUGUAAUAUGAUUGAAUAAUUCUAGCAGCAUCUUCUGCAAAAUUUAACAGAAGAAUUCCCGUGACCACAAAAACAAAAAUAGAAGUACAAUUCUUAUGUCAAGUCAAUCACCACUUUCCUUCUUGUUGCAUUUUCAUUCUAAAAACUUUCAGAAGGUUCUUUUUUAAACUCAGACUUAAAAUAAUUAACUGAACAAUUGUGUCACAUCAUAUUCAUUUGUGUUUUUUGUAAUGUGUAUCUAGCAUGUAUUUAAACGUUGAAAUAUAAGAACCAAAUAAAAGGAAUGUUGAAUUUCAGUGAAGAAAUAAGAUUAACCUCGUAAUAAAUAAAUAAAAAAUGAGGAAGAAAUGAUAAUUAGCAUCCUAUGUUCAGAGAACUGUUUAAAGCAGUCACGCACGGUCCUAGUUCCAAUAGAAACAUAAGCAUCACUGUUUAAUGAAACGAAAGAGUUAAGGAAAAGAAAAAAUAUAUAUAAUGAUACCAGACCAGUUCAAUUUUCUGAAAUCAAUGAACAUUUAAAGAUUAAGAAUCCAUCAGUCAACGAAGAAGACAAUUGAUUGACUAAAAAAAAGUAUGAGUUAACUGAAUUACAAUCAAGUAACAAAUAUUGAUCGAUAGGUAACAUCCCAAUUCCCAAUUACCUCUUUGCUUCUUGUUCCUCUGUUUUCCUGAUGGAAGGAAUAAUGAAGUGGCGUCUGGCUUUGAAAAGGAUCUCUUGUUCUGUUCAACCAUAUCCUGCCACCAUGCACGAAUAGUCUUGAACUUUUUGGCACCAUCUGUUUCUGAAGGGAACACCAAAAUUUUAAGGCAAAAAAGAGUAUGCUCAAAAGCACUGAUUUCAUGCCAAUGUUAUCCUUCCUUAAAGAGCGAGAAUGGAUCAAAUUGAAAAACAUGUAAAUGAAUUAUGCAACAUGUACCAAGUCAAGUGCAUGUACAUAUAUGUCACUAAAAGAAGCAAAAUAUUCACUUCGUAAACAUGAAAUCAGAGUGAAAGAAGAAACCUCCAGUAUUCUGCACAUCAAAUCCUUCAAUAUUUGGCACGGCCACUGAAUUCAAAACAUACUGCCUGGAACAGAAAUGUAUUUUAUUUGGGCUUUGACAAUCGCAGUCCAAUAGUUUAUGGAAAUUCAGUUGAUCCUAGAAAAAGGAAUCAAUGUGUUUCAAGAUAUGAAACAUGGAAUGAACAAGAAGGAAUCCAAUUACAACGUGAGCAUGUGGAAACAUUACCACGCUUUUCUUCACAAUCAAUUCUGAUGCGAGGAAAGUCAACAAAAUUAUUACACUGCGGUCACUACAUGCACCACCAUACUCGAGUAUAUCACUAAUUUGCAGAAUCUGUUACAUGAAAUAUAGUAAUAAAUACUUGUCCCUUGUGAUAAUUGUAUGACAGAUGAACAUAAAAAUGAAUAAUACGAGAAAACUGCCAAUUUGUAUCAAACUAAUAACUCUCAAGCCGCAACAACUGAUUGUUUCGACUACAUCACACAACAGAGAACACCGCAUUAUAUCUCAACUUUUAAUUUACAAAUUGCGCACACACAUGAGUCCAAUGUAUCAGAAUCUCGGGGCAUUUCUUCAUUUCCAGUAUCGUUUUAUCCAUCAUGAAUUUUGAAACAUCUAAUAGGACGUUGCUUAGAAUGCCUAUAUCUUUAAACAAUCUCUUAAAAAAAAGCUCUUUCUAUUUAGUUUUCCAUUGUCUCAUACUUCACAAAACACUGUUUUUGCUCCUUGAGCUUAAGUCCUAGAUUAUAUUGUACCUUACUGUGAUUCACCUUAAAAAAAAAGUUGAAUACAUUUGUAAAAACACUAACCUCAGGAAAAUCUCCCAAUAGUGAUGCCAAUUUUUGCAAUAAUAUGAAAUUGUGUGCUGCGUCUGAACAAUGAGUGACAGACAUGAUCGAUUCUUCACCAUUUGUUUUCUGAGGAUCCUGCAUCCAGGUGAAUAAAUUAAGGUAAGGCACAAACAACGCAAUCCAUAAAAUAAUGGAAUGAGUUCGACACCUAUCUAAGUAGAAAUCAAGUAGAAUGUUGUAACAAGAUGAAUGGCACAACCUUUGAAGAGAUUGAACAGUGAAGAUCUUUACGGAAGUAGUAAUCAAGUAGGCACCAUAUUGCUUUUCCAUCGACCAAAGAAGAAAAGCUGCUAAUCUUUAUAUCAUAGUUGUCGCAGACCACCUGAAGUAAAAGACUUUCCACGUUUAAUCGAGAGGUAUAGGUUUCUGAAUUGGAUAAUUUAAAUAUUUAAAAUAGUUAAUAAAGCAAUCCAGGAUAAGAACUAGUUCGAUCAACUCCUUGCAAUGAGAAAGAGUCGAUGCUUUCCCAUACACUAAAUCUUUGUGAAAUUGAAACAGGUUGAAAACGACCAUAGAGGAGAAGGCUUCUUCAACCCAAUAACAACCUUUUAAAUACAACGUCUUCAUAAAUUCAUAUAUUUGAAGUUUGAAUAAGUGAGCAAUGAAAAAAAAAAAAAAAACAAAAUGAAAGUGUUUGCAAAAUGCUUUCCCCUAUACUAAAUCUUUAUGACCCUACUCUACAGAAUUGAAAUUAUUUAUAGCAGUGAAAUUAUUCUCGUAUUGGUAAAUACGUAUUUCUGCUUUCACAACUUUACUGAUUGUUAAAAUGGAAUGCAUAGUAUAGAAAAAAUGCUUAUAAAUUCCAAGAUUUGAUCUGGGUAAAUGAGGAAAAUCAUUACUUCCCCGCAAAACAGUGAACAUGGCUUCCGUUUGCAUUAAGGGGAAUAAAUGCACAGUGGUGAUACUUGUUGUGGUUGUAAUUUAAUGAUAGACGAAGGAGGAUGAGACUGAAAGAAAUACCUGGAUCCAAUCCAAGAUAACUUCCAAGGGUGUGGAUUUGUCAAUUUCAGAUUUUUCCUGAUGGAUGGAAAAGAGUGAGAAGGUGUGAACAUAAUUCAUUUUUCUGAAAAACGAAUCUAAUAAAGAAAACAUAAUAGAAUCGGACGUCAAAUAAUAACAAAAUAACCAACGUCUGUAUUGAGACUGAUGACACCUUUAAAAGUCUAACAAAGAAGUAUAAUACUGACCACCCCACGAAUUUUGCAGACUUCUUCAACUAGAAGGUUUUUGUUGACUAUAAGAGGCAACUGCAUUUUACAUGUGAAAGAAAAUAAGUCAUGAUUUUCUGACAUGAGAGCUAAAAGAACAAAACUCAUUGACAAUCAAUCACAUUACACAAACAAGUUGAGUGAUUAUCAUGGAAAAGCAAGAAAUUAGAAUACCUGAAGAUGAACAAACAUGUUAGAGAGCAAAGAAAGGACCAUUUCCUUCUCUCCGUUAGCAAUAUCAUCUUCCACAAGUAUCAUUCCAUCCUCAUCACAUAAUGCUACACCAGCCUGCUUAAGAUACUGCACAGCCUUGCCACAGUUUGCCAAGUUCUUCUUAUGAGAGUCUGAUGGAACUACAAUUUUCUGAAAGCAGAAUUGGAGAAAAAUUAAGAAAAAGGUAGAAAAAGUGAUUGUCACUAAGAGCUGUAUUUUCAUGAAUGAAAAAUGACACUACCGUCAGAAUGGAACAGUCAUUAAGCAAAAGUUGAAUGGCUCUGCACAGUCGAACACCGUCUUGGAUGUCUACGAAUAAAUCGGUAAUUUUGAAGUCGUAUUCAGAAAUGGGACGCUGCAGGGACAUAAAAAAUUUACACCAAGUCACCCAAUAAGGGUAAGCAUUAUUAAAUUAGUUACAGUCACCUACAGCAGCUAUUGAUGUUUUUGGUCGUAUUCAGGUUAAAAUGCUCAUCAAGUCAUUAAGUAUAGAACAACUACCUGAGCGUAAGAUACUUUAUACCCCAUAAUCACCAAAUGUGCUAGCAGAUUACCUUCUCCAUGCAUUACAUCUGAUGAUAGGAAAUCUAAUUGCACCAAGAGAAAAACAAAACUUAUGCUCCACUUCCAAACCUAUAGAAUUAUGGGCAAAAAUGGGUGGAGCAAUUGUUAAUUACCAUUAAUCAUUUGACGACUUGAUUUGAUGACAGAUUGCACAAGGAACAGCAAAGGAGAACCCCCAUCCACGCCAUCGAUACCAUAAUCAAGCGGAAGGCUGCUCUGGCACUUGGCUUUAUCAAGAAUAAGAACUAGCAAUAAAAACCUUUUUAGAAUAAUAUUACCCAAGGCUUCAUAAUAUCCCGGUCUAUAUAAACCCUCAACCAUCCGGUUAUAAGAAUAUGCCUUCGCCAGACCAGAGUGAGAAAAAAACUGCUUCCCGAGGACCAUUUUCAGAAAUGCAUUAUCUUGUUCAGAAUUCACUUCUUCAGUAGACAGCAAAGAAUCACCACCAAAUAUGAUGUAUAAUCCAAUGUGAAGCCAAAUUGGAUUAUAAGCCAUAAGGAUCCUCGUGGCGCUCUCCUUCAGUCUAACAUCAGUUAUGAUGGGACAAUGAGCCUUCAUUUUUAACCUUCCGUCAUCAAUAUUCUGCGAGACAGAGCAGAAUAUUAGAAAUUUCGAAAUUUUUUAAGAACCCAUGUUUUAUUGAUAGCGUAAAAGAGAUAUAAUCUAAUAAUCUUGUUCGUGCAUUAAAAAUCACCGUAAGGUUCAAGUUUAUUAAGAGUGCAAACUAUAUCUUGAUUGUGAUUGCAAUAUCACCUCAUUUGUGGCAAGAAUUUGGACUAUUCUAUUACAACUGAAGGCUGCAACUAAGCAAGAUUAGCCUCCAUUUACUCAACAUAGUACGGUACGAAUAUAUUUCUAAACUGGGAUCGAAGUUAAUCGAGCUAAAAUGGUGAGAACGUUGAUCUAAAUUCUAAUCGCUAUUUGUAGUAACCAAGCCAAAGAAAAAGGGAAAUGAUAUAAUUGAAGCCGAACCUUAGCCACUUGAGCCAUGAUGUCCAGAGUAUCCUUACAAUUAUUCGAGCUCAAGUAAACUCGCAUUCGUUGCGUCAAAUCAUCAAAGCUGCACACAUCUUUCAACGACUCCCUCAACUUCACAUACCUCGAAUUCGAAAACUCAACUUCGUUUUCAGCGACAUCGCCACUUGGAAAUCCCCAAGACAAUUCUCUCUGCCUCUUCGGACAUCGCCACACCAUAUCAACCCCCACUGCAGGACAACUAUUGAAAUCCCUCUUUCGAUUCCCCCGCGAUCCAGUGCUACAUCCAUCAUCACCCACAGGCCAAUCGCAGCCACAAGAUCUGGGAUUCUCAAACAAGAAAUUAAGCCAAACCGUGAGGGAAUUAGCUAAAGAUUUGAGAGAUUGUUCCUUCUUCACCUGAACCUUGCGAGAGGACUGCGAUUGCUCAAGCUCAAAAGCUUUGAGUUUGCGGGAGGCCUUGGACCGAGCAGCAGAAGAGGAAGGAGCGAGAGAAGGGCGUGGACGGCGAAGUGUGGAAGAAACGAGAGGAGUUCUCUUAGAAGCAGUAAAGAAAGGUUGAGAUGGAGAUUGAAGAGUGGAAAUGCGGGAAUGGCGUUUGGGGGUUUUGAAGUUUGAGAUGUCUUUGAAAAUGGAAGAGGGAGGAGGUUUGAAAGGUGAAGGAGAAGGAGAAGGAGAAGGUAAUUCCUCUUCAACUUCCAUGGAUGGCUGUGUUCUCUUCAACUUUGAUUUGAAUUUUGAAGGUUUUCUUGGGCUUUGAAGGAGAAAGAGAACGAAGUUGAUGAGUUUUUGUGUUUGAAUUCAAAAUGCGAGGGAGACAAACACAGCCUUUGUUAUAAAUACGACGACAUCAUUUUUUUUUAUUCUAAAGUUACAAUUUUACCCCUCACACAUUAAAUUGCUAUAAAAUACUCUUCUCAUCAAUAUUUUUAAAAAUAACCAAAUAAAUUAAAAUAUUUACAAACAAUACCAAAAUUUUGAAUUCUAUCAAAUAUAACUAUUAUAGAUUUUUAUGAUUAUUUAUCAAAGUAUACAAGCAUAGUCAACAUGAGCUUAGCUCAAUUGGCACCUCUAUGUUCCUGUCUCGGGUUCAAAUCUCCACCUGUUUUUUCUAAAUCUUGUGUAUGAUGUAUUUUUUUUUAAAUAUUACCUUUGAUAAUAUAAAAGUAGUAUUUUUUUAAUUAAAAAAAGCAUGUGAAUGUCUUUUGUUUUAAGAGAAGAUUAACUAUAAACUCAUAUUAAUAAAGAAAGGAGUGAUUCAAAUAUUUAUUAAAAGUGGAUAUGUUAUACUUCUUGAUAUUUGAUCCUUCUUAAAACAUAAAUUUAUUGUCGCUUGUAUUGUUUUUUUUUUUUGGAAUAGUUGUAAAUUUAGCAAUUAGAUUCAAGUAUAUAGCAACAUUUCAAAAAAUUACCAUGUGACAAAUACGAUACAAGUCUAUCAACAAUAGUUUUGCUAUAAUUACAAUUUUUUUAAAAUUGUAAUAAUUAUUAUUGAAAUGGUCCUUAAUUAUUAUUAUUAAAAUGGUCCUUCAUUACAAUUUCUUUUUUUUUUUCCUUAAAAAUGUUAAUUUACCAAUUUAGACCGAAAAAAGAAUUGCAAAUGUUUGUAAUCACCGUAUAAAUUUUUGAAUCCGAUGAAUUGUUUGACAUACAACUUAAAUUCCAAGUUUUUAACAUUUAGUGUGAGUAACUCAUCGUCACAUCCCAACUUUUAAUUUUUACAUUUAUCAAUGAACUCUCGACUUGUUAUGUUAAAUAAGUAAAAAAGAAAUUAUGAUAAUAUGACUCAUGUUACUACAUUUUCAAUAAAUCUAAAAAUCGAUAACUCUAUGAUUACCGUCUAAUAGUCUUAUGAUUGUUGUUUUUUUUCUAAAUGUUUUUAUCAUUGAAUGCAAUUUUUAUUUUAAAAAUAUAUCUUUUUAAAAACCAAAUAGAUCUAUUCUCGUAAACCUCAAUUCAACUAAGAUGAAAUGCAUAUUUCUAUUUUUAUUUUUUAAAAUUCAAGAACCAAUUAUCAGAUGCUAUUUUACAACCACAUACUUAUUAACUAUACUUAGUAGACUAAAUGGUCUCUUACAACUUCAAAAUAACUUCUAGAAAACUGUAAUAAUUCAUCAAGGGUAUAUCAACGAACUUUUUGACAUUUAAUGGGUUGAGCCUUUUUUCUUUUUUUGAGUUUUGCAAGUUUGGUUGGUGACAUAAUUUUUAUGACUUACUUUGCCAAAUCAGGAAGAAGCUCAAAUUAAUUUUGCCACAGGCCCAUAACAACCAGCCUGUUGAUACCUUUGUUAAUCAGGAAUUCUCUGCCAUUUUCAACCUUGCUCGGGUAGAAAUUCAGAAGAGACGCAAAUCAAUCUACCUCAUCACUUGUAUACUAAUACUAACCAAAAUCACAGACCAUAGCAUCAAUAAGCAAAAAUAAAUUACAAGCAGUUUAUCGAGUCCUCAACAGUGUGAUACUCAUCAAAACACACAAUACUUCAUCUUACACAAAUCUAUCUUUGCACAAUUAGACCAAAUAGAAUGAGUUGUUCACAAAUCAGACAACACCGAAAGAAGAGUUUCAUAAUUGCUCUCAGUCAGCAGCAAAUAGCUGGGACUUUCUUUGGCAUUACAUGCCACAGCAGAAUGCCACAUUGACAUAUUUUUUUCUUCCAGUUAGGUAAGAAUCCACUACUCCCAGAUAUUGAAAAAACCAACCCCAAGGAGGUGAAGAAGUGUACAGAAUGUAAUGCACAUUGACUAACGAAUGGGGUGGUACUGAGCUGAUAUUCUCUUAGGAGGCAAUUUGCGUAAUAUGUAAAGCACUAAUGCUGAAGGCAGAAUUUCGACCAACUGUGAGUUUAACAAAAUUUGUUAAUAUCAACCCAAAGUAUGUUGAAAUCAGAUAUAUGAAACAGGAACAAGCAUAGUAAAGUAAAGUACCAAGUAGUAGAUGAAAUUCAGAAGAGGGUGAUCUAAAACAUCAAGUGAUGCAUCAGCGUCAAAAGCCGAUAAAGCAACCUGCACUCAACAGUUGGGGAAAAAAAAACAUCUUGUGAAUCUCAUGUUGUGUCAGAAAAGUUGUUUCUUCAACGGCAAAAUCCAUUUUAUUUAUAAAGUUUGUCACCCUAUGCUUAAACAGGAGGAGGUUGAACUAUACCACAAAGCAUCGAAUGAGGAAGCAAGUAAAGCAUAUGGCAGUUACAGAUCCAACCUGCAAUCAUUUUUUAAGAAAAAGGGUAUUUAAAAGCAAGUAAGCAUGAUUUAGGCGGAUCCACAAUAUACAUGAAAACUCAUACGUAACGGCUAAAAAGCCUACAAAUAACAACCUUGAUCCUACUCUAAACCCUUAUCAAUUCUUUACUUUUUCUAUUUUCUUUUAUAAGAAACUUAUCUAUUUUUUUCUCAUCUUCAUUGAGGUGAAAUUUUAAUGUAGUUACAAAUCCUACAGCCUGAGGAAAGGGUUCAGAUGUCGAAGACAUGUAUGUGUAUAUAUGAUAUGUCUUAAGCUUAUUAAUAUCACAUUUUCCAAAUGAUAUACUUAAGUUUAAAGUAGGAAUAAUAAAAUGCACACGUUGCAGAAACCAAACAAUGUCUUCUAAACCUACAGCCCCCUUGUAAUUAUGGCAUCUCAGGUGACAGUUUCUACGGAAAAGCAAAUGGAGUUUGACCAGAUAAUUUGUGUGUAUAAACUUUAGAACUUACGUCAUCUGUUGCUAAAAUAUUACAUGCAGAUGUGGAGGAUAGAAAUCUUCAUAAGUAACUCAAUUUUCCUCAUACAAUAGGAAGAAAAGGGCGUUUGUGGUUACAUCAUGAUAGAGCACGAAUAAACAAUGGACACAUACCUCAUGAAGUUUCUUCCUUCUCCCUUUAGAUUCAAUUGGAAAACGUCUAAGCAUGAAAAACAAUCUAAAGAUUUUCAAACAAGAGAAGUAGUCAGUAAGGGUAAUCAAAGAUAAUACAAAAUCUAGAUGCAUUGAAUAAUAAAUUGAAAGGUCAUGAAGUAGAUACUCACCUUCCACCGUAUAUCAAGAAGCCUAAUGCAGCUAUGAACGAUACCACUGACAAAAUCAAAGGAAGCAAUGGUUAUUAGAAAGGGAUAAAAUAAUGACAUUAUCUUCUAGACUCAAACUACAAAACUUGACCUCUUGUACACAGGAAACAAAUCACUGGAGACAGACUAACCUGCAAUGAAAAUUUUUCCAAUGAAUUCUACCACACUGUUGUCAUUCACUCCGAUGUAUAUCCAAAUGCAAACCUGUCCAUAGAUUAUUAAAUUUGAUUCAGUAAAAUCCCUCCUCGGGAAUUUAAAUACAAGGAACUACCUCACCCUUCCAAAUAAUAUUCAAAAUUCAGUCAAGGAUUUUCAAGUACGAAUUGGCUACUUAUUGAUUUCAAACAAGGGUAGUUGAGAGUAACGGUGUUAAAAAUACCUGUAUGAGAUAUAUCACACUGUUGAUUGAAAUGUAAACUGUUCUUAGUUUAUCUGUUGGCAGACUUCUUGCCUGUGCAUCAAAACAAUCGAGGACAACUCAGCAAUCCUCAUUGUGCCCAAAAUGAUGGCAAUAUCAAUGACAGCUCAGACACUAAAAAGGGAAGACAGCCUUGAUUGCAAUAAAGAAAAUUUUAAAAGAAAACAGACAGCAAUACAAUAAACAAAACUUGCCUGGUGGUAUAUCUCUGCCCAGAAGAGGACCAGGAGUGUGUACGUUGAGAAAAAAAGAAGCCCAGGAAGUUCCAACAAUAACAAUAGUAGAACCUGAUUCAGAAUUAAUUGACAUACCUCAGUAUACAAGAUAUAGUCUUCAUCACACCUUUUUAAGAUUUUCAGAGGCCAUGGGACUAUUGAAAUCUUUAAAAUAUUAAGAGAUUCUAUAAAUAAAGAAAAAGGGAAGAGAAACUAAGAUGCCACUUGGAAACGUAGCUAAAAGAGCCGGUAACUUUAAUUUGCUAAACAAUAGAGAAAAUGUCAAGAUGAUCUAUAAAAAUUGCAAGAGUUCCAAAAUUGUAGAACAUUUGUAACGAAGAUCUUCCACAAAAGACAACAAUACGAUGUGUAAUCUCUUAUAUAGGUUAUCAUCAACAUCAAUAUUUUAAGAGAACUAAUGUGCAAUCUUUUAUCUCGUAAAACAGCUUGGCAAUAAGUAGAUAAGAUAAUGGUGGUAAAUGUCUUUUUCACUACGGUGGAAAAAAUUAAGAACUUAAAUUCGAGCCCAGGAAAGGUUAGGAUUCAGUCAAAUAAAUUUUUUAAUAUAUUUCUGUUGUAACAGAACGUCUGUUAUAACAAUUUCCAGAUUCUGAUUGUAAAUAUCUUUGUAAAUCUAGAGUAUUGGGUACUUAUAAGUAGGCUACUUUACUUCAUCAUCAAAAACAGUGGAAUACAGAUUAUUCAUUCUCCAAAUCUCUAGAGUUUCAAUUGGCGAAUCCCAAAUAAUAUCAAAGAUCCAGAUAUGGUCCAGGUAAAUUUUCAUAAAUGAUAUCGAAGGUUCAAACACUACUCGUGCAAACUUACCUUUGGUUGCAAAAGAAACACUUGCUUGUGGAGCCCAAACACAAUUGCACGUACUGAAUCACGAAGUUUGAAACUAUCAAUUAAAACCUUAGAAUGCCUCCUUCGAGAAUAAAGUCGAACGCUAUUUUUAUAUUACCUCCAUUGACAAUGAAAUUCAUGAGAUGGAAAACUUUCUGUGUCGUCCAGCCAUAUUCUGGAACUCUCAAUUCGAUCCUUAUCAGUUGAAUCUGCACGCACGUACACAAAAUAAGUUCCAGAUGCCCAGAAUCUAACACAGAAAUCUUUAUUCUACACCUCUACUUUGCUCCCCCAUUCUUGUUAAAGCGAACGCAAAGCUAGACAUUGAAAGCUUAAAGAAGCCCUGAUUACUUGGGGAAAAGCAUUCAAAGCCCGGAAAGUAAAUGAAUUAAAUAAUGGGAAACACAAAUUGUACUUAUUGGAAUAUGAAAUUUCCAUUUCCCAAAAUUCACAUUAAAUAAACCAUAACGAUUGGCUCCCAUCAGUGAGUAAAAGGAGCAAUUCUAGGAAAUGGAAACGCACCCAAACCUACCAAUUUACUCAAUUAGCAAUCAAAUACAAAACCAUAACCACACAUAGCAGAUAAGUUUAGAUGGAUGGGGUAGGGAAGCAAAAGAGAGAGAGAGACCAAAGCAACGGCGGAGACUAGCGCAUAUACAGCACAAAGAGAGUAGAAAAUCCGAUCCUGCCAAAAAGUAGAUUCGUUGAUGUCAUUCCACCAGCUGGAUGCCGUAACUCCCAUCUCCAUGGUCGUCGUCAAGUUCAGCUGCAAUCUCGUCAUUCUUCCCUAAAUAGUAAAGAAUCUUUCCCACUAUCGCCCUCCCUCUCCGCCGUAGAAUCAGAGAACCGAGAAUCUGAUGAAUUGAGAAGACCAAGCGAACGCCGGCAAGAGAGGCACCGGAACGCCGGCGAGGAGAGAGGGGAGACAGAGGAGAAAAGGGAUUUUUCUUUGGGUUUUUUGGACUUCGGCCUUUUUGUUUAUUUUGGUCGCUCUUUCCAAAGUAAUCAAUUCAUAAUUCACGAAGGCUGUGGAAAAGAACAAAUGGAGUAAUCAAUCGUUCCCUCCACAUACUUUAUAAAAUGUCAUAUUUUAUCCCUAACCUCUUUUAAAUUAUUAUACCAAAAUUAACCCAAAUAUUUAUUUUCAAAAUAAACUAUACAUUACCUUCAUUAAUAUUUGUUUAUCAAUAUUUCUUUUUAAACUUUUGUUAUUCAUUUGAAAUUACUUUUCUUUGUUUAUUGUUUUUCUUUUUUGGUUACCUUGUGUCAAGCUGGAAUCUUCCCAUUUUAGAUAUUCAAAUUAAGGCUAAGAUUAUAAUUUGGUGACAUCAUUUCGAUAAGCAUAAACUUUGAUUUGGUCCCUUGUGGAGUUUUUUCUACUAAAUACAAUUUUGGUAGUAUACUCCCCAUUUUAAUUUCUUCUUUUUAACAAACGUUAAAAUUAAUCUCUUAAUAUGAAUAAAUUGAUUAAGAAAUAAUAAUUAUCGUAUACGAAAAUAAAGUAUUUGGACAUAUUUUCAAAAUUUCUAAUAAAAUGUUAUAGGUAAUAACACUCUUCUUAAUUAAAUAGUAAGAAGUCAAGUUAGACAAAGUGACUAAUUGUUUUUAAAUUGUAUUUUACCCGAUUGUGAACUACAAAUUUGGGCAGCAGCAGCAGCUAGUUAAGUGUGAUCAGCCAAAUAUAAAUCUGCUAAGCGAAAACAAAUUGUUGUCAGGUGCAUGAUUUGAGUAUGAAAUCUGUUAAAUACAAAUCAUUAAAUAAUUUAGAAAGAAGACAAAUAAAAUGAAUGGAAGUCUCGUCCAAACAAUACAAACCAAAUUUGAAAUCGAAUGGAUAUAAUGUGUUGGACGGUUCAUCUUUUUGUUUUAAUUUCCUUUUCUUUAAUGAUAAUGUAGUCAUGCUUAAUCUAAUAAUAGAAAAAUAUUUAAUUCUUCUUUAUUCAAGUUGAAAUAGUUAAGUUAAUUGUAGCAACGUGAAAGCAGGAAUUAAUGAUUGAAUUUAGGAGGUGUUUUUCCAUCCCUUCUUGUAAAGAAAAUGAACUCCCUUAAUGGUAAGUAAAUUAUUUCGCAUGGUAUUUAUCUAUAAUGAGUCCAUAUUCGAAGCAAAAUUUGUAUUGAAUAUGAAAUCAUGACGUGCAUAUCUCACAUGUUAUGCUUAAAAUAAGUUUUUUUUUUCUUCCUACUAUUUGAUAGAGGAACAUGAUAGACUAAAAACUUGAGCCGACCAAUCAAAUCGAAGUCAGUCUCUUGAAAAAUAAGAGAGAUCGUUUCGAAAAGUUUGAAAUCGAGAAUUUUCAAAAUUAUUUUGAAAUGUUAAACCGAUCCGGCCGAUCUUACUCAAUGAUGUUAAAGUCGGGAAGAAAACAACUCCACCAACCUAUUAACACCCAUAUUAUUGGCUUCUAGGUCAAUUUUUAAUAAUUAUAUAUUUAUUUUGUGGUUAAGCUAUCACCGUGGGAUCCGUGGCGCAAUGGUAGCGCGUCUGACUCCAGAUCAGAAGGUUGCGUGUUCGAUUCACGUCGGGUUCAAAAUCCCGAUCUUUAACGGAUCAUUUUUUUUCCUCCCUUUUCCUCCAUCUGUACCGUUCGUUGAUCAUACUUUUGAAAUCUCAGAUUUUAACAACGGACAAGAUUAAAGGUUUCACCAGUCUUACGUGUUUCGCAUCUGCACUAGAUUGGCUUAGCCCCCGCCUUCGUCUUCAAGUUUUUGUACAAAACCCUAGACCUCAUUUCUCAAGUUUUAUCUGCUGACGAGUCUCGAGCUAUGGCGCUUCUCUAUCGCCUCCGUUCUGCUUUCCCUUCGAACUCGACUUAUAUCAACUAUCGUCUUCACUACCGUUCUCUCUCCACAAUCCUUUCUCCUGAUUCCUCUAAUCCCUUGUCAGCGAAACAGAAGUCCAGGGCUGCACUGUCCCUACUGAAAACGGAGGAAAAUCCUGAGCGCAUUAUUGAUAUUUGCCGAGCUGCUAGUCUCACUCCAGAAUUUCAUCUCGAUCGUAUCGCUUUCUCUGUUGCCAUUUCCAAGCUCUCAAAAUUUAAGCAUUUCGAUGGGAUUCGCCGGUUCCUCGAGGAAUUGAAAUCUCGUCCCGAUUUGAAGAACGAGCGUUUUGCUUGCCACGCUAUUGUUCUUUAUGGCCAGGCUAAUAUGCUUGAUCAUGCUAUUAGAACUUUCAAGCAAAUUGAUGAACUGGGUGUGCGUCAUUCGGUUAAAACGCUAAAUGCAUUGCUAUUUGCUUGUAAUUUAGCUAAGGAUUACAAGGAACUGAAACGGGUUUAUAUGGAGUUCCCUAAGAUUUAUGGAAUCGAACCGGAUAUCGAUACUUAUAACAGAGUGAUUAAGGCGUUUUCGGAGUCGGGUUCGUCGAGUUCAGUGUCUUCGAUUGUGGCAGAGAUGGACAGGAAGGAUGUCAAACCAAAUGCGACUACUUUUGCGAAUUGGCUUGCUGGGUGCUACAUGGAAGAGAAGUUUGAGGAUGUUGAGAAGGUCCUAAAUUUGAUGGAGAAAUAUGGCGUGCGACGUGGAGUUGCUACAUAUAAUGCAAGAAUACGCAGUCUUUGCAAAUUGAAGAGAUCAACAGAAGCAAAAGCUUUAUUUGAUGGGAUGUUAUCCAGAGGUAUGGAUCCAAACUCUGUUACAUAUUGUGAAUUGAUUCAUGGAUUCUGUAAGGAAGGAAAUCUAGAUGAAGCUAAGAGCAUUUUUAAAAGAAUGAUCAACAGCGGUUGCCAACCAGACAGUGAGUGCUAUUUCACUUUGACUUACUUCCUUUGUCGAGGAGGAGAUUAUGAAACAGCAUUCAAGAUCUGUUUGGAGAGCAUGAAGAAGGGGUGGGUUCCAAAUUUCAGUACAAUGAAGUCUCUUGUUGAUGGGCUAGUUAGUAUUUCGAAGGUCGAAGAGGCAAAGCAACUUAUUGGGCAAAUCAAAGAGAGGUUCUCAAAGAAUGUUGAGAAGUGGAGUGAAAUUGAAGCUGGAUUACCUCAGUGAGGAAAUUCUGGGUUCCUGUGCAACUAUCAAUACCAAGUGAGUCUUGAGGAAAAACUAGAGAACGAGGAAUUUUUUCUUGGCUUGAGCUAAUCACUCUCUGCAUAUGUUUUACAUUGAUGCAGUUAAUUGAUUUGUCAGGAAGCUGUUAUCAAAAAGCACUUUUUGUGACCCUUCUGAGAGGCUAUGCUGAAUUUCUACUGUCUUUUAUGUUCUAGCUUUACCACUGGCUGAAAUUUGUAAUGCUGUAGUUGAAUGAAUUCUCUAACUAUUGGUAGGCUCUGACCUGCUUCAAGAAGGGUGAUAAUGUGCUUGAAAUGUUGUCGUUGACCUUCCUGUUAGGUUAGUAAUUGCUGUAUUGAUGGAAGCUAGAUUGUUUUGAGCAAUUUUGUAUGUCAAUAAAGAUGAAACUUAACAUUGGAUUUUAUGCGUCUUCAGAUUUAAUCAUAUCUUUCUUGUUAUAAUUCAAAAUAUUCCCUCUGUGCGAUGGUGAAUUUGGAUAGCAAGUAAUUGCCUGAUAAAAUGCUUAUGUUUCUUCUGCAUGUCUUCAAUUUUUUGAUUUGCUACGAAAACAAAUAUACUUGGUGAACCAUGUGUCCAAGAGAACUAAUAUUUUUAGAGAGAAUGUUUCAAAAUACAAUAAAGUGCCACUAGGUAGUUUUUUUUAAACUAACGUAAAUAUAUGUGAGAUCCUGGGUUGUUUGUAGUGCCAGUUACAAUUGUGUUUGCUCAUUCUUGAAUCUGAGGUGUAUGGGGGAGGCAGGAAAGUGUAAUGAAGAUCACAAAAUUGAAGAAUUUCUUAUAUUUUUCACAACUAUAUUACAUCUCUGCACUAAUUCUUUUCCUCUCUCUUCUCUGUCUCAUGGACCUGCAAGGAGAAACAUCUGAAGAGCCACAGUUCUUCCAUACAAUUGAAUAUUUUCUCCUAAACUGGAUUGUACCUUGAUGAUUGAAACUUGAAACAGCUAAUUGGUUCCCUUUCUCUGUGGCUUGGAAAUCCUAGGAAGUUCCUUCAUAGAAUUUGGAAACACAAACCAUAUAAAGCACCAGCAACAUUGAACAACUCAAAUUUAAGAAAAGCUGCCUUUUAGCUUCUCUUGCAGAUCCUGACCUCAUGAUACAUAUUCUGAGGAUUAUGAAACAUCCAUCUGCAUCUACAUGUGCAAGCUAUGGAAAUCAUUCUGAAGGAUCGUAUAACUCAACCCAGAAAUCUUAUUCAUUCGAUUGCUUCUCGAAGCAUCAAAAGUCGAGCACAUUUUUGUAACAAAGCGAUUGCUGGUUAGCUUCGUCUUCCUUCGCCAUGACAUUAAAGAUUGCCAGAAGGUGGGUGGUGAACUUCUACAGCCAGACGAAGCCAUUUCAGGUCCUUGAGACCUCUGUGAGCUGAUGGAGGUUUCAAGCUCAAUCUUGGCAAAAUAAUCUAUUUCCUUCUUGACGAGUGAACCAAUGGUUCCUCGAGUUCCAAUGGCAACAGGAGCAAUUGCAGCCAUUCCGUAAUGGGAUUUGUAGAAUGUGUUGGUGGGUUUAUUAUGUUGCAUUCGUUUUGAUGUUGUAAAUUUGAAGAAACGGAAAGAAGGUUUUGGGAUGAAGGAUGUGAGAUGUUGUAGGGUCCUUUUUCCUGAAGGGGUUGUGAUUUGUUUGCUUUGAAUCUAAGCCAACUCCUUUGUUUUGAUCUUUUUAUAAAGCCAUCUGUUGAAGUAAAGUGCUUUGGAAGAGAUAGAGAGCAGCCUCCGCUUGAGAUUUUUAUAUAAUAUUUCAUUCUGAAUGUGAAUGCUGCGAAGAAGCAUCGUAGUGUUUCCCUGUCCCCGACGAUAUUAUGAUUCCUUUUCUAAUCUCUACUAAUUCGGUUGCCCACAUUAUUUUCAUCUAUUUGUCAAGAAGUUUCGAGAUCAGUUUCAAUUUAGUUCGUGUUACAAAAUAUUAUAAAUCUACACUUGUGAUUUGACUUUUGUUUUCAUCUCUAAAUUUUAAGAAUUACAUUUUUUUACCUUAAUUUAAAAAAUAAAUUUCCACUUUUAGUUUUUGGUUUUUGAUGUCAAUAUUGAUUAAUUUUAAAUAAUUAUUUUGUGAAAUUUUAAAUUUAAUAGAGAUGAAAUUACAACAUUGAAUCUUAGGGAUUAAAAACAACUUUUUUCUUUUAUACAUAAAAUUUAUCUUACGAUGAUUAUUUCUGUUUGGAGAGUGGUUUUAGAUUCAGGGUGAACUCUCCCCUAAACAAAUGAUUUUGGCUAACCUAUUGAUUAAAAAUAGAAUUGAAAGUGUUGUUUUGUAAAAAAGAACUCCUCCAAAAUGUCUUUUUAACAGAGAACUUACUCCAUAUUAUUUUGGGAAGAAAUGAUUUAGUUUUGAAUAAAAUACUCUAAUUUUUGUGGAUAUUUUUUAAAAUUCUAUUAUAUUUAAAAGUACAAUAAUGAUAGAAAAUGUAUCGUCGUGAUUUGUUGGUUGUGCCUUUUAUGUUUCAUUUUUUGAGAACAGAAUCACCUUUUUAAAUUGAAAAUUAAGAUCAAUGCUUUUAAAAUAAAAGUGGGAUGUUGAUUUACUCAAUAGAAACACAGUGCAAUUGAGUUGUGAAGAUUUCUUCUGCACCCUACAGGAAGCCAAAUCCAUCCAUUGAUCAUGAAAAGGGUUGAUGAACUUUCCCAUCUUGCCUCCUUUGCCUUCUUAAGAAUCUAAGAUAAAUGAGGAGUUCUGGUUUUGGUUCGAUAUAAUAUUCAAUUUUUGCAAAAUAUUAUACGAUUAGUAACUUGGGCAAUUUUUUUUGUCUUGGAGGCACUAAACUUCUAACUUUUUUUGUUGAGAUAUGUUUACUAAUUUUGUAAAAUGCAAUCAUAUGAUACUUCAAACCCAAUGCAUCCAAGUUCCAACCAUAUGUCAACUUUUUGGUAGUUGGGUAUUCCAAUGGAGAGACAAAAUAGAAGCAUAGUAAUCAGAAGAGAAUUAAUCGAUUUACAUGUAAAUUUGCCCAAACAAAAGUUAUAGUUGAACAAAUAAGAGCAAUGAAAACCUUUCUGAGUGCCUUAUAUCUAUAAUAUGGCAUUCAAAAAAGUAGUUAUUAGCUAUAAUGAACAAAAAUAGCCUCAAAAUUGUAUCUUCCCUCUUAUUUUCUUAAAUAUUCUCUAUACUUCGGUAAAAAACCACCUACUCGCACUAUUGAGUAUUGUCUCUCUAUAUUAUAAAUCUCUUUCAUUCAUUUUAGUUAUGAAUGUGAGAUUGAUGAAGAUAUUAUUGGACACUAGGGAGAUGGCAUGUAUACCUUAACUUCCUAUGCGAAGCAAGAGCUUGAACUAAAGCAGCAUUUACACUUGCACGCUCUCGGAAUAAUGAGUCGUACAAGUGACAAACAAACUGUGAAAGUUCCCCUUCGUCAUCAUCCCAGACAUCAAACGGAUAAUUUUCAAUUUUCUCAGCAUCACUGUCUUCCCAGUCACUUACCGGACUAGAAAGCUCCGCAUCGUCAUCUUCUCCCUCCUCUUCCCCAAUCUCAAACUUCCCAUUUUCCACAGUUUCGUAUUCCCCUGUUUGGAAUGUUGUUGAUUGUGUUUCGGGGGGUUCGUUUGAAGAACAUAUUACAGCUUUAGCUCCAGAAUCCAAAAAGGCUCUGAUUAAAGCUGGGGUUGGCCCAUGAGUUCCGGUGCAGAAAAUGAUCCUGUCCCUCCAAGCACCAACCUAGAGAAAAUUCAGAAAUACAAAUAGUGGAUGAGUGACAUUAAGGGGAGAAAGAUAUGGGUACAAGCGGAUUAACCAUUCUUUCUGUACUAGAACUAUAACUAUAUAUUUAGGGUCUUAGUUGAUUCACUCUUCCUCCACCAAGUGGGGCUGACAAAUCUAACGUACAAGUUUCUAUACAUCAAAUCUCAAGUAUCAUAAGUAUCAUCUUGAAACUUAUUAGAAAACCAUCUUUAAAACUUACUAUCCUUGCCGUAGAACAAACUAAUAAGAUAAUGAGUACAAAAACUGGAAAAAAUAAUAUUCUAAAAGCCUUCAAGGAUAUAGCCUAAAGGAAAAAGCAAUUGAAUCAUUAACCUAUUCUCCAAAGUAUUUACGAUAGUUCUCGAGGAAUGUAGGUUGCGAAAGAAAUUGGCUAAGGACAGGAAUAUAGAUAGAACUAGCACCAUGAUUCAAACCAAGGCCAACGACAAACAUCUAGAAGGGAAAGGAAGGAGGACAAAAUCAUCCAAAUCUUGUUCGAAAAACCAAAGUGUUCUGACAAAGAAACUACAUGAAAAAAAAAACCAAACAAAAGCAGUUGAAGAAAAUAUCUAUUCAUGAGAAAUUAUGAAACAAAAAAUCUCAUGGACUUUCACCGUUCCAACAAUCUCCUAGAAUGAACUUGAAACCCUCCCUCAAUAGAGAGUUCUUUAACAUCUCUAACUAAUUAAACAUGCGUCAAUUAUCAUAAGGGGUAAGAAUUUGAAGACAAAAAAAAAAAGAGAUUGAUCAUAACAGAAAGAGACUUGAAGCCCUACCAUCCAACGAACAUCAUCAGGUGAUAAGUGCAAGGAAGGAACAGUUCUACGAAACAAGUAAGCUGCAAUUUCUUGGUUAUCCUCCAUAACCUUCAACAAUAAACAUCAAUGACAUUCAGAACUGGAAUUCUCUGCAUUGUGACUUUUGACUACAACAAGAAAUCACGAGGAAGCAAAGAAAAAUGCCAAGAUAACAUACUUGGGUUUGUCGUCCUAAAUAACGAUGGACGAUACCUCCAAUUUCGAAGUAGGGUUUGAGCGCUACCAAAUCCGACACAGUCAAGACAUUGGAAAGCAAUGAUGCGCCCUUUCUACGAUGACUCCGCAUGGUGGACAACAAACUAAGCUUAACACUUUGUAGAAAUUUCUCUGCAAGUUCCCCGGGUUCUGCAACUACAAAAACAUCAUUUCGCCAACUACAAGAAUAAAGAAUAAGCAAGUCAGGACCAAAUGCAAAGGUUGCAACUAAAUUCACAAAUCAUAAAUGUCUGUACACAUGUUGACCUUAAUAUUGAGCCGGAUGAGUCAUUUUGAAGGGCUAAAUGUACAAUGCCCACUUGAGGUGAAUUUUGUAACUUCUCAUGCAAUGCCCGUACAGGCAAGGAGAGUUCUCUGGGUCCUGAAGGAGACUCGGGGGUGAAUGCUGCUCCUUUACCCAAAUGACCAUCUAAGUUUAACGGUGGGACCAUAUCAAUUCGACCAAGCCUUUGAGGUCCAACAUCAGGACUAUAAAGAAGUGGGCUUGAUGGAAAGCUUCCAGUAAACAAGGGGGAUGUAAAAGGUGUUGGGAAUGUUGAUGAAGGAACAGUCUUCAAAGCCCCAGAUGUUCCUUGCAUAAGGGAUAUUCGAAUUCCAUUUUUGGAACAAAAUGCUUCAAGUUCACGAGCAUGAUACAUAACUUUUCCAGUAUCAGGACUACUGGAAGCUUCAACCAGUAGUACAUUCCGUCUCCAACCCAAAGAAGGGCUAUUUUCAUCUAGCAUUUCCAGAAAUCAGUCAAAUAAUUGGUUAGUUCAAAAAAUACAAACAGAAUGACUGAGAAGUUGAAAAUGCUAUGAGGACAAAACAAACACCUAUGGAUGAUGCCAUGACUCUGGAGAAAUGAAGUGAAUUUAAGUUCUCCGACCACUUCUCAUCAUGUUGAUAAGGCAAGAUUAAUCUUUCACAGGCAUUCUUGAAGGCCAGAUUAUUACUUUGGAUAUACUCCUCAACUGCAGCUUCCAUCUUUAGCCACACUGCUGGAUCAGUUUCGUCCAGUUCCAUGUCACAUCGUUCAUCCACUGCAAUAGAUAAAUAAAAAUAAAAUAAAAUAAACUGAGAAUAAUAUGCACAUCUCUGUUCUCGAAAUAGACGUGCCAGAGGAUGACGCUAAGUUCUUUUAAGGUCAGAAUUUGGUGAGGGCAAAUAACUGCACAAAUGAAAUUUCACAGAAAUGCUAAAGCAAUUUCCCAUUGCACAUUAAGAUAUCAUACCUGGGUUAAACCGGAAAUAAUGUAUUUCAGGCAGCAUAGGUAACAACGUACUCAAGGCUUCCUCCACUCGGUCCACAGAGCAUGCACUCUCAAUAAGCACUUGUCCAGUGUCUAAAUAACGCCAUCCACCUUUCCUCACCUAAACCAGUCAAGACAGUUAUAGAGCAUUUAAAUAAUCUAAUUAUUCAUACGAAAAGUAAAUUACCUUCAUUGGAGUAGAGCCACAGCCAAUGGAAACUAAGCAGUCAAUUUUUGUGUCAGGCCAUAGAAGUUGUGCUUCUCUGAUGGCAAAGAUAGUAGGAUUGUUUGCCACAAUGGCUCCAUCUUGCCAGCGAUUUACGUCUUCAAAAAUUUCAGAGGACCAUGAACAAAUAUAUCAAAGAUCAAGCAUUUUCAUCUUUAAUCUUUAAUAAACUAGAAGUAGGACUGAGAAUCGUUAGUUAACAAUUAUGUUCACCCUAUUCUCAUGACAAUCAAAGGAAGGAUUUGUAGUAUUUCAUUCAAGUCAUGAUGUCCAUCCUACUCGCAUGUUUUUAUUCACAAGCAACUUAAUUUCACUUCAAAAUUGCAAUUAAAAUUCACUACACAAAUACAAAUUAUCACCAAUUUAAGAAACACGUUGAGUUUAUUUAUGCAAUUUAUUAAUUAUAUCUAAUCAUAUUCAUUUAAAAGCUACUUUGUUAAAACCUAGAAUAAAAUUUAAGUACCCAAAUCUAUGGUAUUAAUUAAUAAUAAAGGAGAAUAAUAAUAUAUUUACUUAUACGAAAACUAGUAAAAAAUACCAUCUGAAAAAUCAUCAAGAUAGUAAGGUGCAGCAGACGAAGCUCUUAUAGCUUUCCAUACUUGGUGCUUGCAACUUCCAAUGAAAGCACUGCGUUUAUAGCCAUCUUGGGCACUGGCCAAAGGUGAUCCAAACACAGUAAUUCCUGAACUGUCUGAAAUUGCAAGAGGUACCUCCGGUGUUCCGACAGGAUACUGCAAAAUUGUAGAAUGCAAUGGAGCAAUUGCUACAAUCAGAUCUAGGAUUACAGUUAAUACAAAGGAAAACAAGUUGCUUUAAUAAAUUGUGUCCGAAAAAAAACCAGAUACUAAAAGGUCUUAUUUAAAGUCUUCUUCUGAAAAGAGGAUUUUCUUUGAGUUGUUCAAGGAACGAAUUAGGAGCCUUGACUGUCCUGGCCGUUUCUAUUUCAUGUCUCAUUUCAAGUAUCUCUCUCUCUCUCCAGUUUUGUUAACUGUUCACUUAUUUCUUUAGAUUAUGCUUGGCUUAACUUAGACUAAACCAUUAUGCUUACCUUAAACCUUAAAUUGGAUUAGACCAUGCAACAUUGAUCCUAUUUGUUUCUUAUCGGAAGAGUCUGAUUGUUUUUUUUUCUUAAAUAUGAAUAACUUUUCAGUUUUCAUCGAGAUACGGAAACUUCAGGAAAACAACCUCCAAAGGGAUUAAAACAAACAUAGACAACUAAAAAUAAAAAUAGGCCAAUACACAACCCACCAAAAGAAAAAAACCAACUAAAAGCUCUUAGAGGACCAAUAACAUGGAAAAAUCAUUUCCCAUUGUACUAUAACUGUCUUGUCGUCCAUAUAAAAACUUAUCAGGAUAAAGAAAAAAACCAAUUAAAAUCUCUUAGAGAUUCAAUAACAGAUAAAAAUUCAUUUCCUUUUGCCAUAACUGUCCUGUUACUGGGCGUGGAAGAUAAAUUUUCAAUGUAGCAUAAAAUCCAUUUCAUGGCUUCUUUUGUAGCUGCCAGUGCUGAAAGGACUGCAUUUAGAAACAACAGGAAAAAAAUUCUCUUUUAUUGUGAUUGAACUAUCCUUUCGUCACAUGCAAAGAGAUAACAAUCAGAAUUCAGAGAGUGGAACAUAAAUUUUCAGUAUGGCAUAAGGUUUGUUUCAUGGCUUCCUCGUGUUUCUGCAUGCUGAAAAUCAUCUAAUGCAUAUUGUGGUUCUUUUCUUCUAACAUACAACUUCUGAGCCCUACUUAAAAGAAGAUAGAAGUCUUGAUCUCAAACCUGAUAAUUGCGGAAUAAGAAUGGCUGAGCUGGUACCAUGCUCAUCAAGGUUGACACAACAAAUACUUUCGGGGGGUUUCUAACUGCAGAUUCUAUUAAUAGGUCCCCAUCCUCAUCUGCGCACAUUUCCUUCAAUAGCCUCUCAAAUUGAUCAGCGCUAUGCUGCAAGACAUCAUCGCAAGAGCAUAUUCAAUCAGCAGCUGGUUGGUGAUAACAAAAUGCAAACAACAAAAGUUUACAUAAUUAUACAUACAUCCUAAGUUCCUUAACGGAAAGAACACGAUGUAUCUACAAUGUUUGGUCAUUUAUAAAUAUAAUUUUAAACAAUAAGUUAGAUAAGUGACCAUUAAAAAAGGCCUGUUGCUUUGCUUUUCAAAGAGCCAAGAAAAUCAAAUGCUGGGUUGACCAAUUCAACAAUAAUUUUCUUUCAGAAAGUUGAAAAUACAACAAGAGCUUCCCAAGCGGAAACACCACAGCAUACACAAAGUGAUGCAAGAAAUCAAGAAAAUAAUUACUUUAGAUCCAUGGACAACAACUCUGAAACUCUGUGAAGAACUUUUGUAAAGUUGAUCCAGCUUUUCUCUCCAGGAAGCAGCUUCACUGUCCUUUGGUGUAGGCUCAGCAAAGACGAGCUUUCCUAUAAUCCAAAAAACAAAAAAAAAGGAAGUUUGACCACAAAUUGAUGAAUUGCACAAAAUUUAAUCAUAGCUUAUCUUUGCAGCAUACUUACCAAGAUUUUUAUAUAUUUCUUCACAUUGAUCCAAAGUCAUUUGCUUAAUCCCCAGGGCAACAGCGAGCAUGCCUCCAGUCGAUGUGCCACAUAUAAGAUCAAACAAUUCAUGUAUCUGCCUUCCAGUCCCCUUCUCAAUUUCUUUAAGUAUUUGAACUGUUGCCAAACCUUUCAUGCCACCGCCAUCCAUUGAGAGUAUCCGCAGUCCUUGCUUUGCUACUUGUCUUCCUUUCAUGGCACGCCGUAAAUUUUCAUUCUCCCCUACCCAAAAAGAAAAGGGAAAAGAAGAGAAAAAAAAAUCAAAUUGAGGAAUGUGAGAACGUGAAUCUCAGACGUACAAAUUAAAUUUGAUAAAAAAAACACAAACCAAGGAUUGCUAAAGCUCGAGCUGCAGCUUUAUUCACACGUGGGUUAGGUGCAACUGUCAAGCGUAAGAGUAGUUCGCGCAACUUUUCAGAAGUAACUAGAAUGCGACGAUUGUCUAAGCAAAAUGCCAAGUUUCCAACUGUCAAUAAAGCUGCCCUUUGCACCUGCAGAAAAAGAUUGUGAGAAUUACAUACAAAAGAGUAAAGAAACAAGGAACUUUGGUUGACUGAAGAAUUUGUAGACUUGCCUCUGGAUUUUUCUGGGCACACAACAACUUCAGGGAUUUUAAAAGUUCCUUAGUCAACAUUUUCUGAGCUACAGUAUCAGAUGUGAAAGCCAACUUAGCCACAACGUGCAAUACAGAAAUUACUUCAUCCUGUGAAACAGAUUUUAGGACACUUUUAAUGGGCUGCAUUAUGUCUGCUUUCAUCAACUGCAUGGCAAUGGAGACAUCUGCAGCAAGAGAAGAAAGAGCAAAGCAUGCUUGUACAACCUGCCAUAAAUAACAACUGUUUAAAAUAAACCUAGCAGUAGAGUCUCAAUUUAAAAAAAAAAACAGCAAAAAGGAAUAAUCAGUUCAGAAACAUAAGUCUCACCACAUGACGGUUCUCACUGCUUAUCAUACUUAUAAGCUGAUGAAUUGCAUUCUCAUCUUUACUAAUAACUGCACGAUUUCCUUCAUCUUGCAUGAUUUUUGCUAGGGCAGAUGCUAGCAAAGGGUGGUGACAGGAAGAAAAACGGAAAAUAAGGGAGAAGAAGGCACUAAGCUUAUGUCUGGAUGCACCAAAAUAAGAGUUAUUUUCCAUCUGCACAUAUCAACAGCAAAAUCAAUCAACACAAAAUGUUAUGUCAAUCCUUUAUUUGAAUAUUUGCACUAUUGUGUUCAAUACUACCUCUAUUUGAACAUCCACAGAUCUCAAGUUUUCAUCUGCCACAAUUCUGAUAUUUGCAAGAGAAAGAUGGCGUAACUUGUGCAAUGGCAAUAUUUCAGGAAGAAAUUCAAGAGGGUUACCAAAUAGUCUAAGAACACGCAACUCAGCCAUAGCCCUGUCAGAAAGCUGGAGAAGAUCAUUAGACCCAAAAAAAAAACUAGGGAUCACCAAGAACUCUUUAAACAAAGGGGUAGUAACAGUGUAAAGUACAAAGCACGAAUUGCUGUUUAUCUAAAUAAGACAAAUAACCUGAAGUCAAGAAGAGGCCUAACGAGUUUGUUGUGUUCCAAUGAUAGCUCCACCAGUCCAACACACUGCCUCAAUUCCACUGCUCAAUAUUGUUUCAAAAAUCAAAUAAUACGGCAGGAGACUUGUCGAUGCAGCUCAAACUAGAGGCUCAUUUAUACUUGGUCUAAAUCAAGUUUCUACCAUGCACCAGUGCCCUUGUAAGUUUUAGAAAACAAUGCUUACCUGGUACGGAAACCAGAAAGUUGAAAUCAACUCGGAGCACUUUCAGAUUUUUUAUCUCACCAAGCUCAGGCGGCAAAACCGUUAGUUUAUUGUUUUCAAGGUAUAAUUUUUCCAGUAGUGGCAGUCGAGUUAAAUCUGCAGGCAAUGCCUGGAAUGAACACAAAGAAAUAUUCAUAAACUCAACUUCCAACCAUACUUCCAACGACCACAGCAUUCAUUCAAAAUGAUUGACUCAUAAGAAUGAUAACAAGAAGCAAUCAAACAUUAUUGAUCAAUCAAAAGGAGCAAGAAAACUAAAAAUGUCGCAAGGUCCCAUCGCUUCAAAAUACAAAAACUUGUUUAUACAAACUGGAAAUGCUGAUGAAAACCGCCAUUACAAUAAACAUGCUCGCAGAAGGAGAAGCCUAGUUGUAAAAUCAAUUGCCACAAACGCUUACCAACAAACCACAACCAGAAAGAUUGAGCAUGGUUACGGUUUUCCAGUGCUCGCCAAAAUCUAUCACUGCGUCGGCAGCCCCUGGUACCGUCGGUGCCAAACUCGACCUCAACAACCGCGUCAGAACGCCAACCCCAUCAUUCUGCUGCCCCGAUCCCGCUGACUUCGCCAUCGUCAUAGCUCUAAGAGGCUCCCUCCUCUUCAAAACUCUCAUAUCUACAUCCACAUUCUCUGCUUCUUCGCGGUACCUCAAUUCUACCUGCACAGCAUCCUGCGGCACCGGCAAGGCAACCAUGAGCUGAGACUGAAGCCUGAGAGCCACCUGAUCUUCAUCGUCCCCAGCCGACCAAUCCAAAUCAAUCCGAAAUCCAAGUUCCUGACCCUGCGUCAAAAUGGUUGUCGCUGCCGACGAUGACGACGAAGAAGAAGAACACGAUGAGGAGGAGGAGACACGAUCAGGAUUCUCCGCAUCCUCUUCCGAACCAUAAUUGAGUUUCAAAUGAAAAAUCUCAGAUGGCCGUUUCCAUCCGAGUCCCCAGGACAUUUCAACCAAAUAAAAAAUUAAUUACAAAUUCGUGAUGAUCCAAUCGAGCAAUGAGGAACCAAAGUCAAAUUGCACCUUGGUUCACGGCAUGAAUACCAUUGGUCUUAAACACCAGAAAGAAGACACUGAUUCCUUUCAAGUAGAAUCGAAUUUUCUCAGAAGGAACAACGGAGAUUGAUGACCGGAGAGAUAGUCGACGGACAUUCAGGAGAGGUCAUCGUUCAUUGUUCGACUAGGAGACACCAGAAGAAGCUGACACAAAACGUUUUCUUCUUAAGCCUUUCGGAGUUCCGAUUCUAUAUAUUCAUUUACCGUUUCCUCAAGCAAGCAUUCGAUUUUUGUGAAUAAUGUGACGUCGUUUAAGCUUCUCUCCUCUUAUCUAUCUCAAUUGACAUAUUUAAAUCAGUUUCACAAAAUAUAGGUAAUGUUUAUUCUUUUUCUAAUAAAGAUAAAAAUAAAAUAUAAUUGGAUAGAUAUUUAAUAAAUUAUAUAAAAAAAAUAGAACAUUUAAUUCCAUCCAUAUUCAUCCUCACAAAGGGGAGUAUAGUUAUUUUCUCUCUGAUCAUAAUAUUUUAUUGAUUAAUUAUAAUUGACUAAAAUUUUAGAAAUAAUAAUUAAAUAUAUAAUACAAUUUAAAAAAAAUUGUAAAUAUAGUAAAAUUAUAUUUAUAGGUAUUUUAAAAUGUUAUAUUUGAUUUGAAUUAAAUGGUUAUAUUUGCAACUAUUUUUAUUUUAUUAGUUUGGAGGAAAAAAACUAAAUAUAUAAUAUUUUAAAUAUAAAUUAAUUAAAAUAUAAUUUGAGUAUAAACGACGUAAAUGAAUAAAAAUAAAGUUGAAGAAUAAAAAUGAAAUAUUCUAUUUGAGAUUUGUUAAUAUCCAACCAUGGUAUAAACUAGCGAAACAAAGUUAGAGAAUAAGUCCUUCCAAAUUAUACUCUCCGGUCUAGAAGGAUAUUGAGCAUCGUUUUGGCUUCCAUGGAUGUCUCUCUGGUGGCUGCCCAUGGUUGUCCUGGCCUCAGUACAUCACUUAACCUGCCGCGCGAAGUGGCGCGAACUCGUGCUAAUCUCAGUGCUUCCAUUUCCAGCACUUGCUUUGCUGCUCUGCGUUCUUUUAGUUUUAAUAGUAAAGCGUUCCCUUGUGAAUCCUCAACAACAGACGUGAACGUUACACAAACUGCAACUAAUUCUGCAGAAAAUGGGUACUGCUAAUUUUCUUUCUCGUACCUUCUUCUUUACUAGUUUGAUUGCUAGUUUGAAUGGGAAUACUGUCGCUUAAUUAUGUUUUAAUAAUAGUAUAAAUGUGAGCUUAAGACUUGUUAUGUAAGUUGUUUGAUUGUUUUUUUCAAUGGUGUGCUGAGAGACUUCAUCUUUGGUCGUUGAUUUGGAUUAGGAUCUUGUUUUUCUUUGUGUAUUGCAUGUCUUGUGGUAAAAGUUGCAGAAUGAUAGCAAAAUUCAAGGUUGAGAAAAAUAAAGGGAAAGAGAAAAAAGAAAACCCAUGGCUGAUGGCUUAAACUUUAUGUGUUAUAUAUGGACUAUGGAUCGCGAGCAUUGAAUCCAUCUCCACCCGUUGGCACUUGAAAAACUCGUAGAUGGCGUCAAAACUUACCUUUUAGCAGCCCCAAACUUUCAAUUUUGCCUUCUACUGUCAGAUAAAGAAGAAUAAAAAGGUUUCCUGGCACCUUUGCUGAUUACUCUGUUAGAUGCUUGAUGCACUUGCAAUAAUCAUGGAUUCAUGAUUUGUUGUUGGAUUUUUUCAUUCUCCAGACCUCUGGUAUUGAUUCCCUUUUAUGAUUCCUUUAGGAUUUAGCAUGCUCCGAUUGAAAUUAAUUUCAGGUAUCCUCAAUAUCAUCGUUUGCUUCCAUGUACCUCAUUCAAUGUCCCACCACGAGUUGAACAUCUGGUCGUUUUGGAAGGGGGGCCUGUUAUGGAAUACAUCUCUAAAUCCUUGGAUCUUCCUCCUAUGUAAGUUCUAUCUUUUCGGUUGAUUAUGCAACAUAGUAUUAAGUCUACUUUAGACGAAGCAAUGAAUAUAGUUUCAUUGUUUGAAGGUAUGUUGCAGAUCUCAUUCAUUUUGGUGCAGUAUAUUAUGCCCUAGUAUGCCCACAGCCUCCGCCAACUGCAUCCUCUGAGGAAAUUAGACUAUUCAAAAAAUUUACACAACCAUCAUUUUUGAUAGGGCGAAAAUCUAUCAAGGGGAAAACCUUGAGAGAAGCACAGAAGACUUUUCGGAUAACUCAUAUUGAUGAGUUUGUGGAAGUUGGAACAUACUUACGUGUUUAUGUGCAUCCCAAACGCUUUCCAAGGUGAAAAGAACUACGUGUUUUUCUUUUCAAAAGUAAAAUAAUGUUUAUGAUGGAAUGAUGCUAGUGGAAAUUUAUAAUCAAUCAGGUGCUAUGAAGUUGAUUGGAAAUCAAGAAUUAUCGCUGUGACAGAUUCCUAUGUGGUUUUGGACAAACCUGCUGGUACAUCGGUCUGUGGUUUGAACGCUUGAACCAUUAAUCUCUGUCUUGUAGAAUUAUUUGCAUUGCCUUCUAUUUGUGGUGGCUGUUGGUAGUUGCAUUGUUUCUUCCUGAAACAUUCUGCGAAUAUCCAGAAUAGUAUAUGCAUUUUGGUAAUAUGGAAUUUACCUAUGUAUAACUGAUUACGUAAAUCACAACGCUCGUAGAGAAUGACAAAUUUUAUUUGCAUCAAUACCAUCUAGCGGACAUUCAUUUUUUAGCUGUUAAGAAUGACAAUUGUUCUGUCAGGUUGGAGGCACUACUAACAACAUCGAAGAAACUUGUGUAACCUUUGCAACUCGUGCUUUAGGAUUAACAUCUCCUUUGUGGACUACCCAUCAGAUUGACAACUGCACUGAGGGCUGGUAAUGAUGUUUCUUAUAGAUAUACUCAUGUCUAAAGUAAUGCCUCUCUUCAAAAUACUUAUUUUCAAUCAUUUACACUUUUCUGCAGCGUCAUUCUUGCUAGGACAAAAGAAUAUUGCUCCAUCUUCCAUCGUAAAAUCAGAGUAAGUUUCAUGGUCUUAUUUCUUGUGUUAGACCAUUGCAAUCACUCUUUCCAUAUUGUGGCAUAAUUUUUUUUUUUUUUGGAGGGGGGGGGGACCAUCUUCAAAUCUCUGUUCUUUCACUCAUUUUCCAGUCUAUCAUGUGUGUUGUAUUUUGAAUAUGAAGUAGUUAAAUAUUUCCACAUAUCUUCUUCAUUCUCACAAUACUAAAAACUAAAAUAUAAGAAUGCUCCUAUUAUUCUCUCUCUAAAUAUGAAGUCUUAUCUCUAUGAUAAACAGGCACCAAGGGAACGAGAGUGAAAACUAGUCACAAACAUUACAUUUGAGAUUUUCAUUUUUAAGCACUUUUCAACAAGGGGAACUGAAUAAGAGAAUUAAAAUGGAUUUCUAUUGUGAUGUGUUCAUGAUAAACAAAGAUGCACAAGCUGACAAGUUAUUUUAUUUUUAAUGGUCUUGGUAGAAUAUCCAUUAUACAUAUUUGAAAUUUUAGUAAAGUUGUUUGUGUUGAUGCUUUUCAUUUCUUAAUUUGAUACUAAUGCUUUACAAAAUUUUCUUUAUAGGAGAAAAAGGUUACGAAGCUUUAUCUUGCUCUUGUUGCGGUUCCCCUGCCAAAGGGAAUAAUGACACACUAUAUGCGGCCAAAUAAUUUGGCUCCUAGACUCGUUUCAAGAGGCAAGUUUCACAAUCAAGCAUUCAAAUAAUCAUUGGAUAUUGCUUUGAACUAUUUGUUCCAAUUUCUCAUAUUGGGGAACAUAUGUCUACAGUUUGAUUAUUGAUUUGCAGCCACAAACUCAAGCACCUAGAAAAUCAGUCAACUAUUCUUCCAGCAAAUUAACAUGCAAAUUGUCGUCCUAGUUAUUUAUAUUUUAACUCCCUCCCAACCUGAUGCCAAGAAUGGACACCUAAACCUUCAACCCUGACCACAAAUGUAUCCGUACCAAGGUGUGAUAGGCAGUUUACGUCUUUUGGUCACUUUAAACAUCUUCUUGCAGAUUGUAUUGACGGAUGGAACUUGUGUCAGCUUGAGGUGUUGGAAUGCAGAGAGGUUUCAUGGCCAGAUGCUGAUAUUGAAGCAAAAUACAGUAUUGAAGAUUGUGGGUGGCCCUCCAAAAAGAAAGCAUUUGAAUGUAAAAUCAACCUCUUGACUGGUCGGACACAUCAGGUUUGUAGCGUAGUAGUCUUUCUGUUUCUGCAAUUGUCUUUGUUAUUUUGAAACCAUCUUCAGAAACUCUUACAUUCAUUGUUCUUAAAAUAGACACAAUAUUUCCUGAUGAUGCAGAUUCGAGCACAACUGGCUGAUUAUGGAGCACCAUUGGUUGGUGAUUCCAUCUACAUGCCUGCAGCAGUUGCAGAGAUGGCUAAUCCUGGGUUGAAUCCAUUUGGAAAAUGUAAGAAAGAGUAUACAAGCGAAGAAGAUAAAGAAAAUGCAGUGGCAGAGUGGAUUGCUCUUCACGGAAAAGAACCAGCAGUUGCUAUUGGACUGCAGGCCUAUGAGAUUUCAUGGGAUUCAGGGGAGCACAUAUACAAUGCUGGUACUCCAUGGUGGAGGCAGGAACAGUUAUAGCUCGAUAUCGACUCCAAGCCAUCAUUUUGCAUUAGCCAACAUUCUCCAAAUCUGGAAGGUUAUUUCUACCACCCAAUCAGAAAAUAGUUGAGAAAGAUUCUAGGUUUGUUUGGAUUGACUUUCUAAAUGCUCAAAACACUUUUUUAAACAUUUUGAAAGUCAAUCAAAACAUGCCUUUUAAGUAUUUUGUAUUGCUUUAAAAUCAAGUUUACUAUUUACUAUACAUCUUAACCAGCUUAGUAUAGAAAGUUUAGGAACGAAAGUAACACCAUUCAAUGAUCAAAUCAGUCGUGUACAGGCAGUUACCUUAAUAAUUCUCAUAUAACACUGGGGUGCUGCUUGGUUAGAUCACUUUCCUUGACGCAACUGCGAUGACAUUGUGACCCAUCAAAGUUCGGAAAAGAAAGCUUUGGAGUUCUCUUCAGAGUGCGAUGAUAAUCUUCAGGUAAAGCCCAAACCUUUCUGUUUGUAUAUCCAUUCGCCCAUUCAAAUUUGUCCAGCAAAGACUUAGGGAAUGUUCCCUCCCACGUAUGCUCCUUCUCUGAGCAAGCACCGCAUUAUAUACUAUCGGGAGAAGCUUCAAUUCAACCAUGGCCGCACAAAGAGAAGCUCUGGUUUUGAAUUGGACCAUUGGAUGGAUAUAGUUAACUCAAAAUUUUUGUUUCUAUAGAUACUCUGUGCCUCUGUGAAUGUAAUCAAAUUUGAUGUUAUAUCUAUGAAUUCAAAAGUAUAUUCUAUGAGUGGUGUUCCUCGAAGCAUUAGAUCUUUUGUCCAGCCCUUCCUCAAUCAUGGAGUGAAACUUUUUUGGGGCUAAAGCCCUUUCUCUAAAAAGUUAUUUGGUAAUGAAGUUGACACACUACGGUUUGGGUAUGAACUGUUAGAAGGGUCAAUUUUCCUUUUAAUUAUUUUACUAAUUCAGCUCUCCCUCAAAGUAGUUAAUUGCUCCAGUGACAUCAACUCCCUAGAAAUUACCCUUUCUCUCAAAAUGAAAUUUUGAAUUUUUAGGUUCCUAUUCUGGAGAGGCAAUUUUUCUAUUUAUUUUACCAUAAAAAAAAAGAUUGUACAAUUUUGUCUUCUCUACGUGAAUUCAUUUAAUAUUAGUUUUAGUAUUUUUAAGUGUAAUUUACAUAAAUCUAACCAAAUCCAGAAUGUUUUUGGCCCGAAAAGUCCCUUUACGAUCAUUUUUUUUAUAAGUUCCAUACUCUGCCCUUGCGAUUUAUUUAUUAAUCUCAAGUCAUUUGGUUACAAUUAAGACCCGUGAUCGAAUAACUAAAUGUAAAAUACUUUCAUUUCGAGGUAAAGUAUGUUUUGAGAUCGGAUAAAAUAAAUGUAGAAUUCUUUCAUCUCGGUGCUAGUAAGGUUCGAGAUCUAAUAACUAAAGAAAAAUUCUUUUAUUUUAGGGCAUUGUAUAUUUCACUUGUGAUCAAUUUAUCAUAGUUGACUUGGAUAAUUUUGAUAUUAACCUUGUGGACUUUUUUCGUUUUCUAAAUUGUUCUAAUAUUUGAGAACUUGUUAUAUUUGUGAAAAAAACUUAUUUUUAAAUACAAUUUUGGUAUUUCUACGUAAAUUGGUUUAAUAUUAGUCUUAGUAAUUUUAAAUAUUUAAAUAUAUUUGUGGAAGUAUAACUUAGAAGAGAGAAAUUAUUUUAAAUAAUAAAACUGAUAAUUUUAUUUUUACAAAUAUAGAGAAUUUUAUUAAAAAUAAUGUGUUUUGUGUAAAUAUUUUGAAAAAUAGGGUUGUUUAAUAAGAAAUUAUAAGAAUAAUGUUGUUUCCAAAACUAUUCUAAAAAUAUGUGUCUUUUUUAAAUUGGACGAGUCGUGUACGGGGCACACGACUUCGUGAAUGUACAUGGACCCACGUGGACUGAAGUCGUGUACCAGGGUACACGACUUCCUAAAUAAUUUUUUUUAAAAAAAGUUAUUAUAUUUUAAAAGAUUAACUAUUUUUAAAAUAAAAACGUUUGUGAAAGACGGAUUUGAAAUUGAUGAACAAAAUUUUUUAAAUAAAUACUCAACCGAAAAAAUGGAUGAACAAAAUAGGAAGAGGAUGAACAAAAUAGGAAGAGGAAAGGUGAAGAUAGGAAGAGAAAAGGUGGAGAGAGGAAGAGAAAAUUUGAAAUUGGGACGGAAAAUGAAAUAGGAAGAGAAAAGAGGAAGAGAGGAAGAGAGGAAGAGGAAAGAUGAAAAGAAAAAAGAAAUAAGAAAUUUGAGAGGAAGAGAGAAAAAACGAAGGAAGGAGGGAGAAGGAAAGAGGGUGAGGAAAAACGAAGAGAGGAAGGAAAAAAAGGAAAUUGAGAACGAAUCAAGGAUUUUUAGGGUUCUUAAAAUGGUCGAAGUCGUGUACCCCUACAUGACUUUCUACAUGUGCGACACGUGGCUACACCAGUGAAUCGUUGACUCACCGUAUGGAAGUUGUGUACCUCGUACACGGCUUCGACCACUACGCGGCAAAAUGUGCCAGCUGCAUACACGACUCCAAUCAAAAAACGUGGGCCUGGUCCAGGACUCCAGUCAGAUACAGUAGGUUCGGUCCACGACACCAUUGGGAUUUAUUGAAGUCGUGUACCCGUACACGACUUUAGUCACCUACUUUUUAAAUUUCUUUCCCAACUACCCUAAUUUUGUAAAUACUUUUUAAAAACACAUUAUUUUUUAAAAAAAUCCCAAAUAUAGCUGUUGAUUUUAUGGAAUCAAUCUAUAUUUCAUUCAUUACUUAAUAGAGAUACAAGCCUAUAUAUAACCAUAGAGAAAUACACUUAAGGAAAUAAUAUCAAAUAAUAUCUCCAAAAUAAUAUCUCCAGAAUAAUAUCUCCUAAGAAUAAUCUAAUUAUAUUAAUACCUUCCCUCAAACUCAAGGUUGAAAUCACAAACUUGAGUUUGCUAAGAACUAAGAAAAGAAACAAUAUAUCUAGAAUAGAAUAAAAAAACCCGAAGAACAAACAGACAAAGAACUUCUAGGUUAAAACAAACCCACGAAAAACUUCCGGGAUAGAAACAUAGAUCCUCGUAUAGAGAUCUAUAACAGAACCUAGGAAGAACGAAACAAGAACUUCGGGGGGGCAAACUGAAAGAGCAAAACUGAAGCAAAGUAGAAUCAAAGCUGGACGAAAAUAGGGUCGGAAUUGGACAGAAGUGUUUUGUCGGAUCAAAGUGGAACCGAACGAACUAAACUAGAGCAAGUCAGAAUCAGAUUAAACGGGAAAUCUGGGGCGAACAGAACGGAAACUGAACUGAAUGGAGCAGAGAGGCUUAGCGGAUCUGAACAAAAACAGAAACGAGGCGUCGUUGGAUCUGGGCUUCGAUCUAAACUUUGAAGGCAGACAUGAAGGAUGGGUCUGAACGAAAUUAGACAGAUCUGGAACAGAUUGGAGGCAGACGCGAGGAUCUGAGGACAUGGGGUUUUAUGGUUUUGUUGGGACAGCGUAAGGAGAUGGAGCAACGGCAACGAAACGCAGCGGCGAGCGGAGCUUCUUGGACGACGGAAAAAACUGAAACUCUUCGGCUGGGCGUUCGGCUUCAACUGACAGAGGUUCAAUCGGUUGCUUGGCUAACGGAAAAACAAGAGGUCGGACGAAGAACUAUGAAGGAGAUGGCCGCCGCAGACGCUAGUGAAAAACGAAUGGGGUUUCUGGGGUUUGGAUGGUGGCAGAUUUGAACAGCAAUGAGUGACAAAGGGAAGGUGCAACGACAACGGCAAAUUUGCAGAUCUAAGGGGCGGCUUCAGCUAAUGGGAGAUGAUUCUGCCUCCGUUGAUGAAUGAUCAACGGAGGCAGAGAUCAAACGGGAUGUGGAGGCUAGAAUUCAAUAAGGCGAAAACCCUAGAGCUCUGAUACCAUGUUGAUUUUAUGGAAUCAAUCUAUAUUUCAUUCAUUACUUAAUAGAGAUACAAGCCUAUAUAUAACCAUAGAGAAAUACACUUAAGGAAAUAAUAUCAAAUAAUAUCUCCAAAAUAAUAUCUCCAGAAUAAUAUCUCCUAAGAAUAAUCUAAUUAUAUUAAUAAUAGCUAUACAAACAUUAAUCUAUAAUGAUGUAGGAAAUGAAAAAGAAAAUUUUCAAUUCAUUUUGGUAUAUUGAAAAGUGAAAACUUUGUUUAACGCUAGUUUCCCCAAACGUGUAAAAUCAUUUAUUGGCAAAUUUAGGAUAGCUAUAGCAUCAUCUUGGUCUCAUCAGCCCAUCCCAGCUCAAAGACUCCAAAGACUCCAUAGGAUGCUGGCUUCCAUGAAUAUAGCUCUGGUGGCCACCCAUGGUUGCCGUACCCUCAGUAGUACAUCACCAUCCCUGCUCCGCACAUUGGCAAGACCUCGUGCUAGUCUCAGUGCUGCCAGUUCCCGCGAUUACUUUGCUCCUCGGCGUUCUUUGGGUUCGAAAAGCAGCGCAUUUCCUUGUAAAUCCUCAAUAACAGAUGUUACAGUCAAAACUGCAACUAAUUCUGCAGAAAAUGGGUGCCGCUAAUUUUCUUUUCCUCAUUAUACCUUCUUGUUUAUCAGUUUGAUUGAUACUUUUUUUUUUUUAUUAUUUAUUUAUAUAUAUAUAUAUAUAUAUAUAUAUAUAUAUAUAAGACGUUUGAUUGAUAGUUUGAGAAGUUACACUGCUGUUUAGCUGUGUAUUAAUAGUAUAAAUGUGACAAAACGACUUACAUGUUUAAAUUGUUUUAAUGUUUAUUUAGUUGUUUGUGGGAAAUUUCAUAGUUGGUUCUUCUAAGAUUUCUGGUUUAUUUAAAUCGAUGAAUUGGGUUAGUAUCUUGUUUUUCUUGUGGUAAAAGUUGCAGAGUAAAAGCUAAAGUGGAAGGAAGAAGAAAAAAGAAAGUUUGUAAUAUAUUUGGACUACAAACUUACAAGCACUGAAAAUUUGCAUUAACUGACUUACUUGUUCGUAGGUCCAAUUUAGUUUGCCUUCUGCUGUCAGAUAAAAGGGGAAUAAAGGGGUUUCCUAGAACCAUCAAUUCACCACAGCCCAAAAGUUUAAGUUGAUGAGUUGGAAUAGAUAUUAAUUGAAAGGAAAUGACACUAUAAGUUUAAACGCAGAACUGACCUCCUACCUUGAUAGUAUGUUAAAUCAAAUCACCAUUCAAUUCAGAAGCUCAAGUUGAAUGGUGAUUGGAUUUUUUUCAUUCUCCCAACCCCUUGUAUUGGCUUCCCAUUUUAUGAUUCUUUUGGGAUUGGGCUUGCUGAGACUGAAAUUAAUUUCAGGUAUCCUCAAUAUCAUCGUUUGCUUCCAUGCCCCUCAUUCAGUAAACCUCCACGAGUUGAACAUAUGGUCGUUUUGGAAGCAGGACCUGUCAUGGAAUAUAUCUGUAAAUCAUUGAACCUUCCUCCUCUGUAAGUUAUACUGCUUUUUGUUGUUCAUAAUAAUUUAUUCUGCAACAAAAGGUCAAGUCUAAUUUGGAUGAAGCAAUGAAUUCAUGCUUUCAUUGUUUGAAGGUAUGUUGCAGACCUUAUUCAUUUUGGUGCAGUAUAUUAUGCCCUAGUAUGCCCACAGCCUCCUAAAACUGCAACCCCCGAGCAAAUUAGACUAUUCAAAAAAUUUACAGAACCAUCAUUCUUGAAAGGGCGAAAAUCUAUCAAAGGGAAAACUGUGAGAGAGGCACAGAAGACUUUCCGGAUAACUCAUGUUGAUGAGUUUGUCGAAGUUGGAACGUACUUGCGUGUUCACGUGCAUCCCAAACGCUUUCCAAGGUGAAAUCAGCUAUUUGUUUUUUAUUUAAUAAAAAACGAUGUUCAUAGUGGAAUGAUGCUUGUUGACAUUUACAAUUAAUCAGGUGCUAUGAAAUUGAUUGGAAAUCAAGAAUAAUCGCUGUGACAGAAUCCUAUGUGGUUUUGGACAAACCUGCUGGUACAUCGGUCUGUAGUUGAACACUUGAACUGUUAAUCUCUGGCUUGAGAAAUUACUUUCACUGCCUUCUAUUUGUGGCGACUCUUGAUUUUUGCAUUCUACCUUCCUGUGACAGUCUGAAAAUUUGAUCAAGAUUGACAUAGGCACUAGGCAUUUUGGUGGUAUGGAUAAAUUUACUGAUCUUUCAGUAACAUGCCACCUCUCAAGUAAUAAAAUUUGAUGAUGUAAACAAUAAACCCUAAUAGAGAAUGCCACCAUUCAUUUGCAUCAUUUUCUUUUUGUUAAUAAAACAAUUUAUUUACAUAGUACCAUCUAGCUGAACAUUCACUUCUUAGGCUUUAAGUAAGACAAAUAUUCUGUCAGGUUGGAGGCACUACUGACAACAUUGAAGAAAGUUGUGCAACCUUUGCAACUCGUGCUUUGGGAUUAACAUCUCCCUUGUGGACUACCCAUCAGAUCGACAACUGCACUGAAGGCUGGUAAUUAUGUUUCUUAUAUAUAUUUCUAUGUCUAAUUCUAAUUCCUCUAUUCAAAAGACUUGUUUUCACUCAUUUACACUUUUGCAGCGUCAUUUUUGCUAGGACAAAAGAAUAUUGCUCCAUCUUCCAUGGUAAAAUCAGAGUAAGUUUCACGGUCUUAUUUCUUGAGUUUGACCAUUGCGGUUAGCUUACUUUACUAACUGGUAAAAUUAUUUCCAAGACAAUGCUUAAAAGUGACAGCUCUAUUCCCUUAAUGUAAAGUAAAACUAUCUUUUUAGCCAUAUUUAAAUCUCUGUUUAUUUUCUCCUUUUCCAUUCUUUAUUUGUGUUGUAAUUUGGAUAUGGUGUAGUAAAAUAUUCCUGCCAAAUCUUCAUUGUGCUCACUAUACUGGUAAAAUGUAAAAAUGGUCGUAUUAUUCCCUCUCUAAAUAUAGUCUAAUCUGUAUGAUAAAGAUGUCUAUUAAGGGAACAAGAAUGUAGGCUAGUCCUUAGACUUUGCAGUUGAGAUUGUCAUUUUUAAGCACUUCACAACAAGGGGAGUUAAAAUGAAUUUUACUUGGCGAUAAUUCAUGAUAAAAAAGCUGCACGAGCUGAUGAGUUAUUUUAUUUUCAGUGGCAUUGGUAGACUUUCCAUUAAUCAUCAUACACAUUUGAAAUUUACUCGUUAAGUUAUUUUUCUUGAUGUUUUUCAUCUCUUAAUUUGAUAGUAAUGCUUUACAAUUCUUCUUAAUAGGAGAAAAAGGUUAUGAAGCUUUAUCUUGCGCUUUCUGCUGCUCCCGUCCCAAUGGGAAUAAUAACACACUACAUGCGGCCAAUUAAUAUAGCUCCCAGACUUGUUUCAAAAGGUAAGUCUCCCGAUCAAGCAUUCAAAUAAUAAUAGGCUGUUGCCUUGAACAAUUUGUUGCAAUUUGAUAUGUUGAGGAACAUAUGACCGUUUAAUUAUUAUUUUGCAGCCACAAACUCAAGCACUUAAAAAACUAAUCUUAGCUUUUCUGCCAACUAAUUAUUAAUAUACAAAUGGAAUGGUCAUCCCAGUCAUAUUAACGUUUUAACUCCCACCGAACCCGGCACCUACAAUCUCAACCCCCAAACGUAUCAUGUAUCCAUAAUAAGUAUUAGAUAGUAUGUGGUUCCAUUCAAAACCAAUUGUCAAUGAGAGGAGUCCCAUCUAUUUUAUAAGGAGUGUGAGGUCCUUUGAUUUUAUCAAUGUGGGAUUCUUCUGGGUUCACCAUUUCUUUUUUAUUAGACCGAAUACCCGUUUGGGUUUUUGAGGCUCUUAUACCAUAUUAGAUGUUUGGGUUUUUGAGGCUCUUAUACCAUAUUAGAUGAUGUGAGAUUUCAUCUCAAAACCAAUUGGCUACAAGAGGAGUAGUUCAUCUACCUUAUAAGAAGUGUGAGUUCCUUUGAUCUUUCCCAUGUGAGAUUUCCAACGAUAAAGCGUGCUUGGCAGAAGUUCUCUAGGUCGCUUUAAACUUUUUCUGCUUGCAGAUUGUAUUGAUGGAUGGAUCAUUUGUCAGCUUGAGGUGUUGGAAUGCAGAGAGGUUUCAUGGCCGGAUGCGGAUAUUGAAGCAAAAUACCGCGUUGAAGAUUGUGGAUGGCCCUCCAAAAAGAAAGCUUAUGAAUGUAGAAUAAACCUCUUGACUGGUCGGACACAUCAGGUUCUUAGUGUAGUCAUUCUGUUUCGGUAGCUAUCUAUAUAAUUUUGAAACCAUCUUCACAAAUACUGCAGGCAGAGAUGGGACAUUGAAAACAGUUCUUAAAAUGAAUAUGCUGUUUCCUCAUAUGCAGAUUCGAGCACAGCUGGCUGAUUGUGGAGCACCGUUGGUUGGUGAUUCCAUGUAUAUGCCUGCUGUGGUUGCGGAGAUGGGUAGUCCUGGGUUGAAUCCAUUUGGAAAAUGUAAGAAAGAGUAUACCAACGAAGAAGAUAAAGAAACUGCUGUGGCGGAGUGGAGUGCUCUUCAUGGAAAAGAACCAGCCGUUGCUAUUGGACUGCAGGCUUAUGAGAUUUCAUGGGAUUCAAGGGAGCACAGUUACAAUGCUGGUACUCCAUGGUGGAGGCAGGAACAGUUGUAGCUCGAUGUUGACUCCAAGCCAUCAUUUUGCAUUAGCCAACAUUCUCCAAAUCUGUAAGGUUAUUUCAACUGCUCACUGCACACACGGAAAAGAGUUGAGAAAUAUGCUCUUUAUUUUGUUUUGCUUUAAAAUCCAGUCUUUUGUUUACAAAUAUAUCAAAACCAUCUACAUCUAUAGCCAGCUUAGAAAGUUAAUAAUCGAAGCUAACAGCAUUCAAUUAUUAAAUCAGUCGUGUACAAGCAUUUACAUUGACAAUUCUCAUAUGGUAUAGGGGCGCUGCUUGCUUAGAUCACUUUCUUGGACACAAUUGCACUGACGUUGUUGCUCAUCAAAAGUUGAGCAAUGAAAUUUUUGUACCAAAAGGUUGAUAGCUUGGGUGUUCUCUUCAGAGUUGUAUAGUCUACAUGGCAAAGCCCAAACCUUUCAGUAUAUCCAUUCAUCCAUUCAAAGUUAUCCAGCAAAGACCAGGCAAAGUACCCUCUCACAUCGGCUCCUUCUCUGAACAAGCAUCACAUCAUAUACAAUCAAUACAAGUUUCAACACAAUCGCAUAAGGAGAACCUCUUGCUUUCUAUUGGACCAUUGGAUGUAUGUUAUUAGUUAGAUUCAAAAUUUUCAUUCUGUACUCCUAAUGUAUGUAAUCAAGUUUGAUGUUAAAGCAUGAAUUGGAAAGGAUGUAAUCUAGUGUUGUUCCUCUAAGCAUUAUUUCUCGUCUUUUCCCAGUCUCGUCUUUUGCAUGUCUCCUUAGAAAUUAUUGGUCAAAAUGACUCUGUUUCUGACUAUUUUACCCCUCCCUCAAAAUAGUUAGUUGCCCAAGUGAAAUCAUUAUCCAGCAAAGAACUAGUCUGUUUAGUAUUUAAUUGAAAGAUUUUGUUUCUUCAGGAUGGAAGAAAAGAUUUUGAACCAUAGAAGCUAAGAAGCACGAACACUUCAAUUUGGAUAAUGUGUCUGUGUUCGACACGUGUUGGACACUUGAACACUCUGACACUUGGUGGACACCUAUUGGACGCUUGCUAGUCCAACAAAUGUAUUAGACAUGCAUAGAUCACCUAUUGAUUAGAGUAAAAAAACACAUAUAUGACAAUAGUGAUAACAUUUGAGCAUAAAAUACAUCAAGUUAAGUCUUUUAAGCAUAUAAAUGCAUCAAUUCAUUUAGUAUGAAUUUUCUUUUACUAUAAAAAUGAUAUAUAUAUUUUUAAAAUGAAUAUUUUAAUAAACGUGUCCUUGCCGUGUCGAGUACUAGAUUUUUAGAAUAUGAUGUGUCGUCGUGUCCGUGUUGUAUCGUAUUCGUGUCCGUGCUUCUUAGCAUAGAUGGGUAGUGAAGUUUAUGGCAAAGUUCUUUGACCAUCUAAGCCUGUCCAAG
rnacentral:lncRNA from 1 species